UUUUUUUUUGUUGCCAAACUCCUAUUUUCCAUGCAAGGUCAAUUACACUACAAUGGCAUCCAAAUAAAUACCCAUUUCAACGUGCGAAUGUGAAAUGUUGGGACAAUGAGAGAAGGGAUUAACAUACUGGGUUACAAAUAAUUUGGAAAUCUUAUAUCGUUGAAACGCAACAAAUUAUGCGUAUAGGCGAGGAAAUUUUCAAUAAACCUUCAAAAGGUUAACAUGACCUAACGAGGACAUACCGUUUACACUUGAGAAAAAAAUUGGCUAUUACUUGCAAUCUUACACAUGAAAUUGAGAUUAUUUGGAUUUUUUACAGUGUGUAUAAUAUCACCUACCCUAUAUAUGUGGCAUUCUGGAGAACUAGUAUCCGUUCCAUGAAAACUCAACUGGGAAGAGAGAAAGAAGAAUUCCAUGACUAAUUUAGUUAGAUUUGAGGCUGGCAUAGGCUGCAAGAGAAAAAAAAAUAAUAACUGAAACUCAUCGUCUCAUCUAGGACAGGAUACAAGAGUUCUAGUUUCUCUGAUAAGAAUUAUUCCUACCAACACACAAUCAAGGGAUAUCUCCUGCAUAUAUGUAAACAGAAAAAGAGUAGCAGAAUACUUAGACAUAUGAACUCCCAAAAUAGAGAUAUCCAAGCUGUGCCAAAACAGCCUCAUAUUGCAACGACUUUCAAAGAGUGGAGUAGCAUAAAAAAAUGAAACUGUUGUCCACAAGGCCGUCAGAAUUCACAAAUCUACUCGCACGAACCAAUAUUGUUACAAAUAAUCAUGUGGUUAUGCAUAACCAUGUGCUAUCUUAGUAUGAAGGGGAGAACACAAGGUCCACGAUUUUUUAUUUCUCACUUAUAGCUGUAUAGGAGAAGUAUUACAUGGAAAUCAUGAGAGGAACUUAUAUAGUGUAAAUGCCUCAAAUUUAUGCAAAUAGGCGAGCAAAUUGUUAAUAAAUCCUCAGAAAAUUUGCAUAAUAUAGAAGAGGCCAUUCCUUUUACACGCUAAGCAGAAUGUAAAGAUCAAAUUAAAUCCCAUUUUACAGACCAUGAGAUAGAGAGAGAAAAAUAUGUAUAGUAAACAACGUGGAGAUCGCCUUUUUUCUAAGCAACCCCUUUUCUUAUGUCCCAAAAAGGGUUAAUUUUGAUCUUGAGGGAAAGGAUAAUUAGCAUGUGUCCACCAUAAUUUCUUGUCCUUCAGGUUUUUGCAGAGUCUUGCACUUAAUUUCCAUGAAUAUACAACAUAUUUCACAUGAUAGCAACAUGAUUAUGGUGAGGGCCCAGGCAGUGGCGGAGGACCCGGUAUGGCCUUGAUUUUUCGACAAGUACCCCAUGUAUUCUACUGUUUUGUCUGCCGGCAGCCAUCAGAGCUCUGACUCUGACAUUCUGAACAUGAGGAGAGGGCGCAGGGAGGAAGAAACAUAGUGUUGGGCCUGAUCACAGAGUCUGAAGCGUUAUACGUAAGAACUGGGCCAAUGGAUGGGCUAUUUUUUUUAACAGGCCAACGUCUCCUACUCCCAGUCCCAUCUCCCCAACAGCCUGCCUCGUUGAUUAGUAAUUCCCUGUCUUCCCAGUAACGUGCGAUCAAAGACAAAACGACGAACCCUACCACGGCGCCGGCGCACGUGUCCGGCGACGGCACGAGGCAGCGAUCGAGUCUCGAUGGGCGACGGCACACGAGCUGCCAAGAUCUCGCGUCACGGCGGCGGCGGCCGAGCGAUCGCACUGCUGAAUUACCGAGGUCUCCUAGACCUAAACCCAAUUAAGGCUUCAUUGUCACCUGGUCUGUCUCUUGACUUGCAUCUUUUUUUUUACUCUUUAGAUCAUCUCUAUCUAUAUGUUAAUUUGUAAUUUUUACGUACUUCUAAGUUUUACAGUUGACAUCGUUGCAUUUAUCAUGUAUACAGACUACUAUCGAUUAAAAUCUUACUUUUAAGGCUAGUUUGGGAGCCUAAAAUCCCGCCAGGAUCCCGACCUUUUCCCAACGCGCGUGGAAACGAGGCACGAGCCAAAUUUCGUCGCCAUUUGGAAGCGCACGCCACGGGGCUGGGCUAUCCGUUCCUCGCAUUUUCCCUGGGGUAGAUCCUCACCACCUCGAAGGUCCGCUUCCCCGUGCGGCUCCCCAAGCGACGCCGAUCCGACUCCUCGUCCAAGCGCCGCCGCCGCCGCUCCGAGCCUCCGUCUUCUCGUCUAGGCGCCACCGUCCCUCCACUUCCCAUCCAAGCGCCGCUGCCGCUCCUAGCCUCCGACUCUGUCAAUCUGCUUCCACGUCCAUACGUCGCCGUGUCCCCUCCCCGUCGUCUGCAACGCCGCCUCUACCCACGGACCUCUACCUCCUUUGCCUCCUCCGCAUCUACCAUGGCGCCUCAACCUCAUCUUCCUCCUCGACACCCACUGUGAUGUACUGAUGUGAGUUCUUCCUCCUUCCUCCUCUUAUCAGAUUGCCUAGGAUUUGCUCUUCUCAUGGCUGUAAUGUGAAUUCUUGUAGUUAACAUCUUGAUUCCCAUUUCUUCUGUCUGAGAUCCAAUCCCAGGAAUAUCAACUAACCAGCACAAGCACCAACACUGAUUCAAUUUUUUUAGUUAGAUAUAUGUGUUCAAGUCCUAGAUGAAUCAGAUAUAUACUCAUCAAAUUUUUAAGAUGAACACAAACAUUGCAGUAAGAAUGUAUAGUUAUAUGUUUCUUGCCUCUUUCAUUUUGCUUAUUGCAUUCUCCUUAUCAACCAUCCAUUUGUUUGUGCUGUCAUUCCAGUAGGUUAUCUGAAUCGGAAAAAAUAUUUACAUUGAUGCUGCACAAGUCAUCUUUGGUCUUUACACAAUCCUAGUAAUUAGUUAACUUUACUGCAACAAAAAAUGCAUUUCUUGUUUCUUAACUAAACUGAAUUUUAGUUAACUUUGACAUCUCACGAGCUACUACUGAAUAAUUUUCUGCUUAACACUAUUGGUUACUAGUAACUUAGUCAAUUGUCUAAUCGCGAUGAAUACUACCAAGGGUGGUUGUAAGUUUUUUUUAGAUCAGGGUGGUUGUAAGUUGUAACACUCGGGCUGUGUGUAUCAGACACAUGUGCAGAGGUUGGAACUAUCUUUCAUUUUGUUUUAAGGAAAAAAAAGAUAGCGGUAGUACUGAUUAAAAAGCAGCAUUUGAAAGCAAACUUACUGGAGUGUCUCUUGAAUCUUCAUAUACUGCGAUACACUGACGAUGUUAUAUAUCUUGCUCAAUGCAUCUGCUUAUAACUGUUUGCAUAUGACGGGGAAGGUGACUGUAUAAAAUACCCUGGUUAAAUCUCCCCUUGCUUCCAAAGGAAGCCUUAGUUUGGCUACUGAGAGAAGGAGCUCAGGCAAGGCACAAGAUCUCUGGAGGGUGCAUAGGGGCUUGAUGAUGGUGACUUAGGUACUCAAUCUCCAUAUGUUCUUUCAGUGAGCAAUAGUUUGUAAUGUGCCUUUUUAUUUCAGUGAGCAAUAAUCUGCCAUCUGCUAUACCUGCACUAUAGAUAAUGUUCUUUCAGUUUGCCAAGCAGCAACUACGAGUAGCUGAAACCUAGAUAUAUAAUUGUCAAUGUCACUGAUUGCCCUUUUGAUUUCCAAUGCUGCAACUAAUCUGUAGAUAGCUGCAUGUAGACAUCUGUUCUAUUUGAGUUUGCAUAAUUCUCUGAGAUGAAUAGACAACUUCAUCUUUGUCAUGCCUUAAUUUUCUGUGCUUGAAUCAUGCCACUAAUUUGAAAUAAUUACUGCUCCUGAGAUAGUUGAUUGCAAUCUGUUUCUUGCAAAUAGGGUGUAUAUGUGAAAGUAUCAUGACAAACUACUUUGAUAAAAACUUUGUUUGGACUGCUGCUAAUAUAUGAUAAAUCUCUAAUACAGUAAUUAUAUCAUGCGGUAACAGUUGAGUUAAAAACUUUGUUGCACUGCUGCUAACAUAUGCUUAAUCUCUUAUACAAUAAUUAUAUCACGCGGCAACAGUUGAGUUAAAAUCAUGGUUUUACAGCUGACUAGAUGCUUAAAAUAUGCAAAGAGCACCUGUCCAUUGGAUGAUUGCUUCCUUUUUUACGACCAUCAGUUCUUUCCAUGUCCUUGUCACAAAUGCCUUUCAGUCUUGUAUAUUGCUAGUUUGCCACACUUUCAGUUCUUUGUAUUCUGUUCGGGCAAGGCUUGUAGAAGCCGUAUGAGAUAGCUGAUAUCGGUUCAAAGCUGAAGAGUACACCGAUAUUACUAUGUAUAUACCACUAAGAUAUUGUUCGUAACUGUUGACACAGAUAUGAUGUAUGGCUGGCUUAACUCACUCUUAUCAUGGAAUUAUUUAGCUCCUGGCUGUGCUAAGUUUGCGCUGAAUGUGUAGCAUGGUAGUGGUGGUGGCUGGUUUGUGGUAUGAUCAGCAAUGGAUUAAUAAAAUAGUAUAUUCAAUUUUCAUUUAUGAUUUUUCAAUGCUGACUAUUGUUUAUUGUUUUUUCAGAAUCGAUAAACAGUGAAGUGUUGGAGAAACAUGAAUACGGGAAAGAAUGUUGGAGGGAAGGUCCUUGGCUUAUUUUACUAGCUAAUCUCUUGUACAAUAAUUAGAUUAUGCGGCCACAGUUGAGUUGAAAGCAUUGUAGCUAAUUAAGUAGAUGCUUAAAACAUCUAAAGAAUAUACGUUCAUUUAGUCCAGCUGGAUGCGAAGGUAACUUGGUGAUUGAUGUUGCUUGUUGAUCUUGUAGACAUGUUUACUGAUUUUAUUUAUGAAGUUGCUAUUUUUUAUGAUUUCCUGAUUUUUUUUUCUGAUUUUUAGGUAUUUUUGAAUAGUGGGCUAUUUUUCUGCAUGUGUACAACUGGUGUGGAUCUGCCCUGCCUCCAAACAGUGACAUCGGAAAAGGGAUGGAUCUCUGCAAGCUGGGGAGGGAUGCAUAUGCUCCAGGGAUUUCCCUGUGGAGAUGUGCUGCCCGAGGCUUGGCCCCUUGCUGCCAAAGGAAGCCUUAUCGUCUAUUCGACUUCGCCAUACCUUAAUUUUUUCCAUCCUCCGCCUCUGAUUGCCAUUGGAGGUGGCUUGCUUUCUUCAGUGGGAUGUUAAACAAAUGAGAGAUGGCGUGUGGGAACAGGAUCAGGACAGCGCCCUCGCUCGGCCUUGCAUCCUUGGCGCAGAGCUCGGACUCCAGCUGGAGAUGACCAGGGGCCAGGAGGAAGCGGGUGUAGACUCCUGCGCGCCAUGGGUGCACGCCCGAGCAGAGGGACGAGGAGUGGCCGAUGCUCACCUUGAGAAGGAGAAGGGAGUUAACGUCGUUUCAUCUCGACGUCACAGAAUGCUAGUUUUAGUUGAUGGAUCAAUCUUUCAAUGAUAUUUUACGGAACGACGAACUUUUAAUGAUAUUUUACGGAUAUUGCGAUCUUUGAUGCUACGAAACUAAUUUUCCCUUUGGUUAUUAUACUAGUAAUGCUUAUGAUUUGCAGCAUGACCACGAUUUCGCUGGAACUCAGUGUACUAGGUACGUUUGACUACAACUGUCCAACCCACUACUCUUUUCACAAGAAUUUCUUAUUUCUCUAUCUCACGCUAAACAACCCACUACUCCUUUCGCUAAAGAAUUACCCUUUGAAGAGGCAGGUUCUAUAUCUUCCUUUCUUGUAGCAACAUGUCUAGUGAAAACUUGAAGAACCUUUCGGUUUGAGCACUUAAAUUGACAUAUAUUACCCCCCAAAAAAGCAGCCUGCUGAGACUAAUCAUGCUAGAAACAAGUUGUCAGGAAGGAGAGCUUUAGGCCUGGUUCAGUUGCCCAACUUUGGGAUGACAAAAUUACUGUAGCAACACUGUAGCGUUUCGUUUGUAUUUGUGAAUUAUUGUCCAAAUAUUGACUAAUUAGGCUCAAAAGAUUCGUCUCGCAAAGUACAACAAAACUGUGCAAUUAGUUUUUGAUUUCAUCUACAUUCAGUACUCCAUACAUGUACCGGAAGUUUGAUGUGAUAGGGAAUCUUCUUUUUGCAUAGUGACAAAGUUGGAAUUUUGGAGUCAGCACGGAACUUCAUGCCGCACAACUGAUCCUAACGAUAAAUGCCCACCACCUGAGCCCAGGGGCGGAGCUAGCCGGCGGAGCCACCGGUGUCAGUUCUACUAUACACCGGUGCCAGCUUAAUGGAACAGCAGCGUGCAACAGUGAUUCUUCACUGAUUCUGCAGCAUCUCGCCGUUGUCAGCUGAUAACGACAAAUAGCCCUGGCUCCGCCCCUGGCAGGUGGUGCUUGCUUGCUUGCUGAUUCGAGGAGAGUAACAGAGAAGGAUUGAACGGAGAGAUUGCUACUGCUGCUUGGAUUGGAGGGCACCUGCUCCUCCGAACAGAACAAGCAAGCAACAUGCCUCUUUCUUGCCUGCUUCAAUUUUUCACGCGAACACUAAAUCCACCGCCGCAAUCUUCAAGUCCAUCAAAUCGAUGGGCACGAGCCACCAGAGGCUGGGCUCCACCCAAACUUGCCUCUAUGCCUGAGCAGGGUGUGGAUGAGCUCACUUCUCCACCGUCCUUCGUCCACAAGCUCUUGUCGCUGAGGACCAGCACCAAACAGUGGCUAGGCCUUCGACUUCGGGAUGGCCCCCGGGCGUCGUAGCGCUCGCUGUUUCACGGCACUGCUGAAAAAUUGAGCAUUAGUACUAACCCUUAGUACCGGUUGGGGUAUUAGUACCAGGUCUAACGGCUAGUUCCCCAGAAAUUCCUCAGUCCGUCGUAGCGCCCGAGCGAGGGUGUAAGGGCGGCGCCUAGCGCCACGACGAGGCACAGCGAGGGCCCUGGCCUGGGUUGCAGUAGGGGUGCCACUGCGACACAGCACGGGCACUGGCUUGGUGCGGAGGGAGGCAGGCGACGAUCUGGAGACAGGGGCAUGCGGCGACUUGGGGCCGAAGGGGCGAAAGGAAGAAGCAGCGGUGUAGCAGAGGGACCAGGAGCGGCGGCAUUCAGCUUGGGAAAGGAAAACGCGAAGGAGGAGACAUCUAAGACGGACAGUGUUGACGGCAGUUCCAUUAACACGUCACUGAAUGCUAUUUUAAGUUGACGGUUCAAUCUUUUUAUGAUAUUUUACAGAAUGACGAUCUUUCAGUGGUAUUUUCUGGAUACAGUAAUCUUUCAAUGCUAUGAGACCAAUUUUCCUGUAACCAAAAGAAUAGAGCAAAUAUUCAUCUUUGCCAUGCUCACGGUCGCUUCUUUCUUUCACGCGGCUGUAUCUUCACUUAUCCCUUUGGUUAGCUGGCUCUACAUAAUGCUUUUAUAGCCUUAUAUCAACCAUCCAAAGACGUGCUUCGGAUGUAGAUAGCACAAAAGAUCUUCUCAAGAUGUGGUAUCAGAGAAACCUCUUAGGGCUAGUUUGGUGGAGCUCCCACCGGCUCCAGCUCCACCUGACAUGUCACUGUUCAUGUAUUGUAGCUACACUGUUUACCGAAGCUGAUUUUCUCUCUCCUCCUCCUCCCCCUCACAAACCGGCAAGUCUCCACCGGCUCCAGCUCCUUUGACACCCUGCCACGCACAGUGCAGGAGUCGGAGCCGGAUGGAGCGGCACCAAACGAUCCCUUACAAACACUCGUUGUCAAGUGGACCCUUGGUAUGUUUCUGAGCAUGGAUUGAAAAGUUGCAAAAAAAUCUAACUACAUGUUCUAAGCUAGGCUGAGGUUUGCCAACAUCUCAUGAAAAUACUGCCUCUAUCCUUACAUACAAGGAUUUCUAGAGUUUGAAUUUUGUCCCGAUAUUAUAAGAUUUUUGAGUAUCCAAUCAAGCUGGUCAAUCAGGAGUUGGCCCGACCUUUAAUUGUGCCAACCAAAUUAAGAGAUGACCAAUUAGGAGCUGUCACACCCAUCAAUCGUGCCAAUCAGAUCCUGGUUUGACUGCUUCAAUGGGGGAAAAAGUUUUCAUACCCCUCAUAUUUAUUUAGAGAUUGAGAGAGUACCCUUUCAAACUUACAUCUGACUAACACUGUAAAGUAAUAUGUCUCGCAUAGCGUCCAUGUGAUCAGUACAACUACAAAAUCCUAGUCCUAACACUCUGAAAUGUUUGCAUUCUCGCCUUUUCUCCUUAUUUUGAUUUUGGCCCUUGCAAAGGGUAACAAAUGUGCUGCGAAAGGAAAAGGACUAGUUCAUCUGAUGGAUCUUCUUAGUAAGUUACUCUUAUAAGUUUUAAUGUUUGGUAAGUCUUAACAUGAUAACAACAAUGGAUGAAUGUACGGAAUGGUUUUUAUUUUGCAGAUUAUCUUUACGUAUCUGCAAAUUGGAGUUGUAGGAUGCUUUAUGCAAAUUUUCUUGAAUGGAUCUGUACUGUAUCUUUUGUUGAACAAAAUUGGUUAUUACUUACAAUUUUUUGUUUGAUGUUUAUUUGAUUGAAGUGUAAAACCUCCAAAAAAAAAGUUAGAAGUUAUAUAAACUCCCUCAAAACAAAGCUGCAUACGUAUGGGAGGUGAGAUCAUACAAGCAUGUGAAAUUUCAUAACCAACUCAAUUUCAUUUGUAAGACGUGAUUUUUAUUUUGUACAACAUUUCAUUAUAUUAUUAAUAGUAUGGCUUUUCUCAAUUUCAUAUCAAAUGAAAUUGAGAUGAUUUGAAAUUUUACAGUGUGUGGAGAACUUUGAUGUUCACACAGUUGUUUCAGAGGAUUUUUCACAACUCCAUCGAAGGGUGUUGUCUUCAUAAUGGUCUGUGACGGACCACUCUUCAAUAAUUUUUUUUCUCACGAGCUAUUACACAUUAACACUCGUUUGGAGAUGGUGGUAGGAACAACAAGCAAAACACUUAAGAUUUCUACAGAUUACUUGACAGUUGAGACUUUCAUCAAUGCAACACCCGGACGGGUGUAUAAACGAGUUCAAGAGAGUACUUUUCGUGGUUGUUUGGGUGAAGAGUCUAGAGAUCAGUUUAGGUAAAACUUGCUUUAUGAUGAGUUUCCUGAGAAUCAUUUUUGAUUUGUUAGUUAAGAUCAUGGUUAUAAAAAAUCACAUUUGGUAAAAAAUGGGUAUUAUCUAUUUGGUGUUUUUUUAGAAAAAGGUUGGCUCAUUCAUUCAUUGAAACAAUGUUCCAGAGUUUACAAUUUUUUGGAUACAAACAGGUAUACAUUGCCGGUAGAUUGAAUAAGCAGCAGGCUCACUUGAUUUAUCUAUUUGGUGUUCUGUUUUGAGAAAAAACAACACAGACCCCUUUACCGUAAAACUCACUAUUUCGUGUUUAUAGGAAACCGGUUAUCGCUAUCCUAGUUUUGUGGGCACCUAAACAAACAAUGCUUUUUUGUUGGUUAGAGCAACUCCAAAAACUCCUUUAAAAUUACCCCCAAAUCUUAUUUAGGGGAAAAAUAAAUAAAACUUAACUCCAACAGCUCCCCAAUCCUUCCUGUAAAAAUGCGCGGACGCUAAAAAUAUCUCUGUCGCCCCGCAUAUAUGCGGGGGUCCGGUUCUUCCCCAAUCGCUUGGCACACGCACCUGAUUCGUCCCUCUCUGUUGACAGCUCUUGCCGCGGCCUCCACGCGCUUCCUCUUGCGCUCGCCGGACGAGGUCUUCCGGUCGCGCUUGUUGGCGGCGGCGAUGCGCGCCUCCCUCGUCUCGACGCAGCGUGGCGCGUUUCCCUUGCGUCGGGGAGCGCGCACCUGGUGGUGGUGGACGAAGUGAUGGCGCCCAUCGCGAGCUCGGAUGAUGAAGCCUCCCAAGGUGGCAAGGCGAGCCUUCUUCCCGGGGUCCUCGUCGAGACGCCACCGUCGGGGAGGUCCUUGAGGUAGCCGAACUCCGCGACGGGGCCCUUGUUGAGGGCGAGCGUGGUAGGGUGGCAGCUGUGCAUCCAGAGCAUGGCGAGUUGUUCUCCGCGCACACCUUCUUCGGCGGUGCCGGCGCCAGCUUCAGUGCCCUAGCGUUCCAUCAUGUCAGGAAUGCAUCGCCGGUUGUAGGCACGGCAGCGGCCGCCUUCACCGCUGCCUCCGCGGCACGCGUAGCCAGGGCGCGGAGUCUCUCCGCUGGUGGACCGAGAAGGGUGUAGGACACGGCCUUCCAGCAUGCUGCCGUCACCAUUGGGUUGCAGCGAGGUUGAGCCCCUGUGCGAGCUGGAUGCCGUGUACAAUGAUGUGGCCUGUUUUAAAAUAUUGGGGGCUAGUUAUUAGCGAUCUAUUGUAGGUUGAUAUGUUUUUGGGGGAAAAACUUUUUGGAAGAACCCCAGUACAUAUUGGGGAAGAACUUUUUGAUAAACUCUUGGAGUUGCUUAAUGAAAACUAUUUUUUCCCCUAAAACCAAAUAUCCAAACAACCCCUUCUUGUAUAUGAAUAUAGCACCAACCACAAAAACGAGUCAAAAACAAGAGGCAUGGUAAACCCAUACUUGGUUGCAAUAGCCCCCAUGUUUAGCUUAUACACGUGCAACAACACUACAUUCUCAAAAUACCUGAAACUUAUCUAGGAUCGAACAACACAGACUCAAACUUAUAUAUCUAGGAUCGAACAACACAGACUUUAAGUUUAUCUGAUCAGAAUUCCUACCAACGUGUCAAAAGCAUUUGGUCUAAAAUCAUUUGUGAGCACCUCUGCGAUACUAUUUUAGAUAUCUUUUUCCAUUUCAUUUGAUCUAUUUUACAAACGAAGGUAUUACUAGGAGAAACUGAUUUUGGUUAAAAAGUGGAGUAAUUAGGAAGUUUCAGGAUGCAGCUAGUCAAUUACUUGCACGAUCUAAAGACAAUCAAUCGGCCCUUCGCAUAACUCUUUAAUCGUAGUGAUAUACAUGAACUUGUGAUCAAUCCGCCGUUCAUCAAACAUCAAUCAAGAUUCUCAAAGAUGUAAGCAAAGCGAAACAGACAUAUUGCAUCACAAUUUUGUGAGGUGCCCAGACAUGCACAGUUCCCAUGCUCUUCAAUUAAACUAGAACGGACUAGCACCAGGUAGGUAUGGCAUAUGAAAUCCUCUUUAUGUAUUGGAAGGAAAGGACCCCAACUCUGGAGGCCCGACCAAACUUAUGCACAGCUUACACCGUACAGGGCCAUAAACUGCACACAACACGGUUGAAUCUUGCAUGUAUACAAAACAUUGCAAUAAUCAAUAAUCAGUGGUGUAAUGAAUCACCCUUGCUCUGGUGACAACUGUAACCUGAUUAAGUGUUGAGGUUCUUGAAGAGCUCGGGCAGAUGGGCAUUCGUGAGCUUGGUCCGUUUUGUGAUCUCGCGUUGCUUCUUGGCCUUAGGCUUGGGUUUCACCCCAUCGAUCUGGGCAGCUGCUCGUCGUUUUGCAGUGUUGGUCAUGGGAUUGAAGCCGUUCUUCUGAAGCUCCUUUUCCAUGUCCACCAUGUCGCGUGGUAACUCGAUGUCCCGGAAGAGCUGUUUCAGAUCAUCAUCAACCUUGAUCUUGGCUUUAGGAUCAUUAGGGUACACAAUGUCCUCCUGAGAGUCCAUGUUUGACAACAGCCAAACUUCACCUGCUGCCUUCAGAGCCUAAAAUGCAGCAGUUACUACAGAUUACCUGCGUACUCGAAUAUAAAUAUUUAGCUAGGUUGCUUGUAGUAUGCUAAUGAAAUCACAAAUACAAGCUAAUUACAUCCACAAACUCGUCAAGACAAUGCAAUACUUACUUGGAAAGAAAAUACAUGAGCUCACAGACAAAUAAUCUACAUAUUGCAGGGUACCUUUGUGCUUAUAAAACCUGUAGAGCUAACUUGGACACAUUCUUUUAGCAUUUUUGUUAUUAACUAGUUAGGUACCUUCACAACAGUGUAUGCAUCACAGCGUGGUUAAGACAACACCUUAGCGGCUUAAAAUAUCAGACAAUGAGAAUUAGGAUCACCUGAAGAUCUUCCAUUACAGUUGGGUAUGCAUCCUUGACUUCCACUACAGCAAGACCCUCUGCGAACCUUCUUAUCAAAACAAGUACUUGAUCUUUUCCCUUAGGAUCAUGCUUGGACUGCAAUGUGACAACAGUCAAUUAACAUGUAAGACCUCAGAAAUCAGAAUAGCUAAACUGCAAAGAAGAUGACAAAAUAUUGAGACUGUUAGAGGAAACAACAACUAUUGUAACUAUAUCAGGUCUCUUUAUCGACUUUCGCUCUUCAACAGCAUUCCCGUGUAUUUAAUUCACUAAAGGAUUGGCCAUAAAUGGUUUAGUUUAUCACAGCAUGAUUUAUAACUGUCAUAGAAGAACCACCAUACGGUGUCAACUAAGAAGUAAACUGAGUUGAGACGAAUUACCUUCUACGAGAAGCGCCUCCCAUCAUAGUGUACUUUGGGGUUGUUCCUCAAGCUGUCAAAGACAGCCUUGUUACCAUGAAUAUCAACAUAAGUUGCGUCAUUUAUUUGCUCUGCAGUAAAAGCUUGUCUUGUCUGAAUAUGCAGAUGAAAAAGUAAUAUAAGUUAAUGUACUAGAUGCAGAAUUGUUUAUGUGAUACUUAUUAAUAUGAUAAUAUCCCUUGUGAAGAUGCUUGAACUUCUACAAUCAUUGCUAAAAUGCAAGUGGACCAGAACACAGAAUCCUCAGAGGACUGUUUCAAUGUUUUUAGAAUAUCUAAUUCUAUUCAGUGGAAUGGAGCAUAUACUAAUGUCAAUAAUUGAUAUGCAGCAUGCGUGCAAAUGUAUGGUACUGCUCCACACAUGACAACUCAGAAUAGCCAGUACAUCAUUUUUGUCCUCAUCGACAAUAUAUCAACACAGUGUACUACCCCAGGUUUAUCUAUCCUGGAAAUUCUGUUUAGCAUUGGGCAAACACAUAAUAAGCAGCAAAGGUACUAUUCAUGGUAAAUAGCACAUUCAAAUUACAGGCUAUAACAUACCAAGACUGAGCAUCUUACAUGCAAGGGAAGACAUACAGACGGUACCAGAAAAAAAAAGGGAGGGGCCAGUAUGUAUAUAAUACAUCAAAUCGUAUAAAUAAGGCUUCAACAAGCAGGAAACCACAAAUAUAAUCUCCACUGAGCCAGGGCAUCUAUAAACUAAGAUAGUGCAAUGACAAUUAAUUCUACAUGAACAAUUAGAGUGCUGAUUUGCUGAAUCAGGUCUUUAUGAGGCCAGAAAAGAGGGGAAACAUUCCUCUCUGAAGUUACACUUGUACUAAAAGGAAAAUGGAAGAGGGUUGUAGCUUAGUGAGUAUACCUUGUAGAGCAGUUCGAUGACAAGUUUCAUCUGUGCUCCAACAGGGGAUUUCCUAAUCGAAUUAAUGUGCUGAAGCCUUUCAGUGUCAUUUGAAAACUUAAUAGGUUGUGAUGGCCUUGCUGGAACAGAUGGAGCAUUUAUCGGUUGGGCCCUGUGCUUUGGCUUUGAGGUCAAAGCUAUGCUAGCCAAAGAUGACUGGCACCUCUCCUGCUGUUGCUUGAAUCUGGAAAGGCUAUCCUUGAGAUCCAUCUAGAAAAAGAACAUUCUUGUAAGUGAUUGGUUAAAUAAACAAAAACUUGAAUAGAAACAGCUGAACGACCGGGGAAAGAACUGUUGCAGCAGUGUACUAUGGUCUUCUGAAUGAAGCCAGCAGUGCCAAAAACUAAAUGCAACUGUAUUAUACACAGGGAAACAAUCAAGUUUAUACUUCCUAGGAAUGAGAUAAAUUCAGUCAGAAUCUGAGGCAUAGAGAGAUCAAUCGUGUCAAAUAUCAUAGCUACUGUACGAAUGAUUGUAUGAUCCAGUUCAGUAUUGUACUAUUGUACAAAGAUGACGGGCAGCUGAAAUAUCUAAAAGCUCAACCGUUUAAAUCAAAUGUAACUGUGAUUCAUUCUAUUCUCAGUCAUGAUAACUAUCAAGAACACGCAAAAUUAGUUUGCCUUAUCAGAAGCAGGUAAUGCACCCAGAAAAGGCAUUGUAUCAAGCAGGUACCAGCAAAGUUAGAAUCCAUGGCACAGUGAAUCAGUGCCUUACCCAGGUAGUUUGCCAAUCAUCAAGAUAUAAAGGCCUAUCUAGUUCAUCAGAGAGAUGAGCCCUCCAAUUCUCAUCUGAAAACGUUAAACACUUAAACUGCUCCCCAAAAGGGCCAAUCUGUUUAGUACAACGCAAAAUCAAGCCCCAACCACAGAAAUUUAGCAUUAUUAUCAGGCCAUCAAAAUGGUAAAGGUGCAAAGCCGCCUGCAUCGCAUCAAACAUCAGAUCGCACGGGCAAUGGCUCAUUCAAUUACGUGCUCAGGCCAGAUCGGAUCCAAAGGCUCCCGGCUAAACGCGCGAGCUCGUGACCCUACAGCCGCCCCCCGUCUCCUGAUCCCCGGCGAAGGGGGGGAGGGAGGAGAUCGGUGCCGGCGUCCUUCUAGGCGCUAAGGUGCCGGAGGUGGCGGUGAGCCGGCGGGGAUGAUCGGCUAGCGCGUGCGCCUGGCUGCCCUAAAUCUGAAUCGAUCGGGCCGCCCAACCCCCAACUCCCACCAGAUCGCACACGUAACCGCGAUCGAACUCACCGGAUCGCAGCCGGCGCCUCGCCCGACUCCCUCUGCUGGGGUGGGGGGCUGAAAAUGUAACGCAAUCGGUUUGCUGAUGAUAACAAAUCACAGUACGGCUGUUUGUUUCAGAUCACCUGUAAUCACACGUCCAUACAAAUCCAUUGCCUCUCCUUCCCACCGUAAUCAUACCCCACCACCCCGAUGCGAACAGCGCCGCCAAGAUCAAGCGCUGUGCCCGUGCCUGUGCCACCGUCGUCGACUCCCAUGGCUGUGCCGCUACCGCCACCGGCGGCGGCUCCCGUGGCUGCACCGCUGCCACUGCCCCGUGGUUGGCAACUGUGGUUGCAAUACCGCCACCGUCGGUUCCCAUGGCUGUGCCGCCACUACCGCCCGACGACGCAAGAUACUCCUUGUCCCAUCUCCUGUGACUUACUACUGCUCCGCUCCCAUCUCUCGUCCCCCUGUCCCAUCUCUCUCUUCUGCCAUUUCCUUGCAUAAGAUUGGGGAAUUUUCUCAGGUUGCAGAGAUUGGGCAUGAUUUGAUUUUUGGUGUUUCAAGGCUCAUCAUGUUCGUGUAUGUGUGAAUUUAUCAGAGAUUGGUUUUGUCUCUGACUAUCUGUUGAGUUCAUCUUGAAAUUGAAUCGAUGCAUCCUUUCAGACAUCUUUCUGCUGUUGGUUGUGUUCUGCUUUUUGCAAAAUGAAAGGAGACAUUUGUAUCUGAUAAUGUUACUACGGUGCAACCAAACAAAGAGAGAGUAAUAACGCAUUCUACCGUCGAUUGCACCGCACUUUGUGUUUAUGUUACCGUUGAACCAAACACAAUCUCAGUAGGAGGGCUCGUGUUUAUUUUUCCAAAUGUAGACUCUAGUGACUUAUUUAGCACACAUAAUUUGCACUGAUUCUAGAUUCGGUAGGGCGAGAGGAAGAUAAGGACAUAGAUAGACAAUUAAGGUCGAUAUUGUGUUUCAUGGAUUUUGCUUUUUAAUUUCGACAAUUAUUCUUUGGGGCUGUAAUCUAACAAUUGUUAACGGAGUACUCGCAAAUGAAAAAAGAGCAUUGUGUAUUCUAAACGUAUAAUUCACCAUUUUUUAUGCGAAAUUUGCAUUAUAUUCAACGCUCAGAAAAACUUAGUCGUUGGAGGGCAUUUAAGAGUUUCGCAUACGUUAAAUUGCAGCUGAAACUCAAAGGGGUCGCGUCUUAAGUAAGAUGUGGGAUGUGUUCAGUCGUAACCAUGAAAUUGUUUGUAUUCGAGCUUAUUCACAACAGAGGAAUUGCAACAGACAUGGUCCUGUCGAUGAUCCAGUUGUCCUACCUCUUGUUAUGUUAGGCUCGGUUCUUUGUUUAUUCAGAAAAGGAUUUUGAUACCGGGCCUAAGGCCAUUUUUGUUAUGGAUAUUUACUAUUGAUGGAAGUGAUAGCUUGCAGCACAUAUAAAAUAUUUUUGCUUCUUGGAGGACACUUCACUACUGAAUGUAGCUGGGCUGGCGACAAAAGAAAGAUGGCCAGAUUUCUGGCUGAAACAUGGAGAAGGCGGAAUAAUAGAUGGCAUUUAUGAGUAAGUACACUCUGUUUGACGUGACUCUAGCUCUAAACUUCGAGCCGGGGUUAAGCGGAGCUAAAUUUUUUGGAGGCUCAGUUCAUUUUGAUGGAGCACCUUAUGACAAUUCUAAAACCCUCAAAUAUGAAUAUAUUCGUGGAGUUCAGGAUAAUUACCCACCUUUACCACUGGUUACAUAGAUGUACCGGUUCAUUCUAUUUUCCCCUCCUCCCAAUGCCUCUCCUCCCGUUCGCCCCUAUCCUCCCAUUCGCCGCUCACCCGCCACCUCCCCACCCCGAUCGCGGCCCAAGUCGUGGCACCUCUUCCCUCCCCCGGCCACCCACUGGACGCCGGCCUAGAUCCGACCAGUGAAGGCCCCCGAUUUUCGCACAUGAAGCCAUCACCAUCUCCCCCAUCCUCGCGUGGGUAGCGCGGCAAACUGUGGAGCAGCAGCUCGGCAGCCUCCACCGGCCCCGUUCCGCGCCUCCGUUGCUCCCCAUCCCGCACGCAUGCGCGCCCCUGCCACACCGUCGGGCUCCUCCCGCGAGCACGCCCCUGCCAUGCUGCCGGCCCGCGCACCGCCACGUCUCUGUCCCGCGGGGAUGCGCCCUCCCCACGCCGUCCCACCCCUGUCAUGCACCGCGUCGGCAGCCCUUUCUCCGUGGUGGUGCGAGGAGGCCCUGUCCGACCCGAUCUCCUUGGACCUCCCGAGGAAGAAGACAUGGAUGGAGAGGAUGACACGUGGGAUCAUGAGUUAGGGGUAAAAAUGGCAAUCCUCCCUAAAAAUAUCUCUUUUCUGGAGUUGGGGAUACCAUGGUAGCCAAACACCAUGUUUAGACAACGCCAACUUCAUUUUGAGCUAGCUCCAGCUGAAGUUGCGGAGUGGAAUAGUAAAAUUUAAAGUUGGAGCCAUGCCAAACAUGUUCUACCUAUACAAAUGGGAUCUAGACAAGUUGCCGAAACACUGGGAGAAAUGGGUGGAUCAAGAUUGUAGCCUUGAGGCUGCACUGAAGUCUGGCAAAUGGUUGGACUUAUAUUCAAAGAGGCUGCUGCAAGAUGGAGAAAUCUCGCAAAAGGGGUGCGUGCAUAUUCAACGUGGAAGAUGUUGGUCAGGUGUCGUUUUGCGCGUGAAGUCGAUGCAACGUUAGCUUAUUAUAGCUUCUAAGUUUUAUCAACUGCAAGAUAUGCUAAUUUAUUUUUACAGUUUUGUAUAAGUGACCAAUGGUGAUAGUAGUGUCUCCGAUUUUUUCUGAGUCUCCGACAAUUUUUUAGUACUCGCUUUGUUCAGGUUUACAAAACGCACACAUAUCAACAAACACCACUGAGGAAAGGACCUUCAGUAUCGGUUCCUAACUCCCCUUUAAUACCGGUUGUGCAACCGGUAUUACUGGUUCGGUAUAAAAGGGGUAUUAAAAAAGAAAAAAAAGAAAUCCCACCCCGCCCGAGCCGCGCCCCGCCGGUCCGAGCCCGAGCCCGAUCCGCCCCCUCCACCCGAGCCCGCGCCCCGCCCUUGCCCGGCCCCGCCGUCCACCGCUGCUGCUCCUUGCCCGGCCCCGCCGCCCUCCGCCCGGCCCCUGCCGCCGCCGUCCUCUCGCCGCCGCUCCUUGCCCUGCCAACAUUAUUGCUCGUUGUUUAACUUUUUUUCUAUGUUUAAUUGGUUAGCUAGGUAGUCGUUCUCAACAUUUUGAGGGAUAAUAUGAAUAAGCUUUCAAACUGACACGGUCGUGCUAACAAUAUCCCCUUAACCAUUUGCAGAAUACAAGAACAAGUGAACAUAUGUAAUCCUCCAUUAGCUAUUUUUAAUUUGUUCGAAGAGUGAACAAAGGAGCAGUUUUUUAAAGGCAAGAAGGCUCUAGAAGAGUAUAUUAUGGAUUAUACAAAGACAAUGAUUCAAACGGACCGAAAGGUGAACAUUUUAGUGGAACCAUUCAAACACCUUAACGUAUCUUUGCUUGCAACUCAGCCAAAAUGCGGGCUUCUCUGCCAAAUUAAAAUUUUAGAUGUGUGCUAAACAUUGACUUUGAACCAGAGCGCAACCAAUUAUUGCAGGAAAAUUCUGGCUUGGCUCGCAUCAAGACAAACCUAACAUUAGUAUAUCAAUAUAUCCAACGAUUUCCCAAAUCCAUACCCAAACAGAAAAGGCUAAGCCCCACUUUUAUUUUAGAAAAACAAAAUUAGAAUAAAACGAUAAGAGGGACAAAGUCAGAUGGUACCUAUAGCAUGGCGCGGCUCUUGCUAGUCAUCUCUAAUCUCUCAUCUCUAGCACAAUCGGGGUUUCCUGCUUUUCCAAGCAGAACUACUAUACAUGCACUGCAUUAGAAUUUGAUGCGUCUUACCUUGUUGCUACUAGCUAGAAUCGACGUAUUCUGAGAGCACGUUACCGGACGGGAAAACGCUGACGGAGAUCAUACAUAGGGUCAGUUCCUGAUAUGUUGGAGUCCUUUGGUGCAAAACCAAAGCAAAAUGGAAGGCCUCAUCAUGCACGCUGAAGAGGUAGUCACCAAGGCUGUCGUUGUCGAAAAUGUGAAUGUCACUGGAGGCGUUACAUAGGUGACAAAAUUGUGGUGUAAAAGAUUCCAUCGUGGAUGUGGAGCUCUACCAUGGGUGCUAUGUUUGCAAAUUCGGAAGCUGCAGCGGUGAACUACAAGUGCACAAAUCUUUUAUCUAGUUUAGUCGUCUUUGCAUUAGGACUUACGAAUUGCUGAUUUUGCCCUGUUGCCUAAGAUAUGAUGUACUAUCAGAGAUUUGAAAAAGAAAAUCUCAAGUCCUAGUACACCUCCAAUGCAAUGUGAUAAUCUCUGGUGAUAACCUCCACACUGUUCCAUUCUUGGGCGGCCGUGAUAUGUUGAAAAUACAGCACGUCAGAGAAAAUGAGAUGACAAGAUAGCCCAUGGAACUAAUCCCGAACACAAGUUGUUUUCUUGCCUUCCGGAGGAACAUACAUAGAGCUGCGGGCUACUGUGGGGUUCUUUUCCCUGGGUUGAUUCAGACAAGGGUGUCGUCAGUGUCACUUUUAGCUUGGGCGUUAGCAGAGCUGAUGGCAACCUCAAUUUCAGUCUCAUCAGUUCGGCCUGCCCGGUCGUCUGCGAUUCCUGUUUGCGUGUGGAGGAAUAGAACAUUCAGGAUGGACCGGACCGGGCCACGCCACCAGACCAGAGUCGUCUUCUACUGGCAGAACAAGCAGAAGUGGUACCUCGAUCUGGCAUGGCAGUGGCAGGCCGCUCCAUGCGUUGGAUCUGCCGCUUCCGCUGCUGCUGCUGCUUCUGGCCUUCUGCCAACGGUCCCUCCGGCCUCUGCUUUAUCUCUUUUGCUUUGUAGGGUUUGUUUUCUGGUGUGCGCAGCCGAUGGAUGAGAAUAUGAGAUCCCAAGAAAGCCAAAGUGCAAAAGCUGGCAGGUUCAACACCUGUUGUACGUAUCGCUGCUGUGAAGUGUACAACACCUCGCCCGCUCGCCGGGCGUCGAUGGAAUUGCCAUUCCAGCGCGCGAGACCCUGCUCUCCCUCCCGCCUGCCUUGGAUCAAACGCCACACGGCUGCCACAAUGCCCGAAGCAUCUCUCAUGGGCUCUCUUUUGCGUCAUGCCUUUGCUCUCAUGCAUGCUACUCAUCCAUGUGUAGUCCAGGUCCUCGAUCUCUUUGUGUCAUGCCUUUGCUCUUUACCUCGUGCUUCGCUCACCGCUCCAUCUCUCUUUACCUCCAAUCCCGAGACUGUGCGCGCGCUCCGUUUUUUCCUGCGAGAUCCCGAGGAGCAUCCGCUUUCCUCUACCUAGAUCUCUCAUGUUGUUCCCGCUCCUCUCCUUCGGGAUCCCGAGGCAAGGAACGGUGGCCGGCCGGUCUCACAACUUGUUUGCUGGCCGGCACAAUCAGCUCAUGGAAGAAAAGAAAUCCUUGGUUCAGUCCAGGAUGCCACGUCCCCUGGAGCGAAAAUAAUUGAAGGGUCAGUUUCGAACCUAGGAAAGCAAAACAAAUUAAAGGAAUUAGAAAAAAAACAUAGAUGGUAAUAGAGAGGAAUUGGAAACAAGAGAAAUGUUGAAGAAACAGGGGUGGACGGGACUUGAAUUCAGGACAUUCAGGUUGUUCCUAGUGGUGUGAUCAGGGGCGGAGCUAGAGGAAAGUGAAGGGGGGUGCGGCACCUUCAUAGCAUAGGUAGAAGCAUAUGUAGAUAGUUAGGUAAACAUGGUAAAAUUUUAUGUUUGAUAAGAGAUUAUGAAUUUUUUCUAGAUGCAGCCGCACCCAGAACUUACUACCUAUAGCUCCACCGUACCCUUGGGUGUGAUGUCUUAAUAUGGCACAACUCAAAACAUCUACCUCUGAUACUAUUUACAUGUACCAACUAGGUGACCCAGAAGGCUAAGCUGGUGAUAAAACACUUCCACUAUAAUAAAAAUCCUUCAUGGAGCUUAGCAUGAGACCAGAUCAUGUUUGUCGAACCUUAGCCCAAAGCGUAAUGACUGUUCCUAGAUAGCUCAUGGACAAUCAACAAACCCUAAUAAAAACUCUGAUACCCUCAGGCCUCAGCUUUCAAAUGAUUACGCGAAUCCAUCAAAUGGGAAUGGAUCAAAUAGUAAACAAAUGAAAAGGUAGCCUGAUCCUUAAUACAUAGAUGCUGGCGACUUAGGACAUAGCCUAAUUAUGUCCUAUAGCCCUAACUCCUAGCACAAACGAUUAUCAACUAGUAGUUUGCAUGGUGUGAAACUAGGGAUCUUUGCGCCAUGUACUUUUUACAUGUGUACCUUGCUUUCCUUAUACGUGAUGUGCUAUUGUGCAUCUAUGGACUCCCUCCGUGUCCACAUCGUAAGACAUGUUUUGGUUUAAAAAAUUAAAAUUAGUCGAUACAUUUUAAAGAUAUAUUUGUAUUUUUUAAUAAGAUGUUUAGUUUUUAUCAAGUGAUAAAAAUAAUGUAAAAUAAAUAUAUUAAAAUAUCUUUUCUUGUCACUUCAUGGCAAGAAGUGGCAGGGAGGAGUAUCAGCAUUGAGUGCUACAUUAAGGCUCCUUUGGUUCAGCUUCUUGAAGUGCUUUUGCUUCCAAAAAUGUCAAAAGCUGACCAAAGGGAUGGCUACCAUACCAUCUGCUACCGCAAAAGCAGCUUCCCGUCAGUUCAUUUUUCGCAGCACCUUCCCCAUACUUCUACCGGCUGCGAGUCGUAACUUUCAUCAAAAUUACCCACUGCCACUCGUUAUGAACUUACCAAUUCGUCAAAACCGUGGCCUCCUCCUCCUCCUCCUCCAGCGACAUAACACGCGCGCGCUGGCGGCACCCCUCUCCGACCAUCUCCUUCCCUCCCGGUGGCGAUUCUAGGUGGCGGCGGUCCUCUCCGACUCCCUCCUCUCCUGGCGGUGGCGCUACCUCUGGCUGGUGAUUGGUCGCCAACAGCCACCCUCCCCACUCCAGCGUGCCCCUUUUCGGCCCAUUCCUCUCCUCCUGGCACCGGUUCCAGACGACGACGGCUAUCUCCAACCCCCUCCUCUCCCGGCGGCGGCACAAAAGGGGGCCGGCGGCGCUUGUGCUGUCGGGGCCAAGCAGGGUCGUCCAGCGGCGCCACUCAGCGUCCCCUCGCUCCUCUCCUCCCCUGCGCAAGAGGCCGGGUGGGUCCUAGCUGAGGUACCUCUCCCUCAGUCCCUCUUGCUUCCUCCCCUGAUUCGGUAGCUGAAGUUCUCCAGAUUUCAAUUCCUUUUGUCGUGGAAUUCUUUCAUGAUUCACAUGGUUGUUAACAAAAUUGAUGUAUGCUAAGGAUUUGCACAGCUGCUUAAAAAAAUUGAUGUAAGAUAAAUUGUUGGUUGCCUGAUUGUUACUGAUAACUGAUGAACUGAUGAAUUGAUUAUUCGGGGUAGUAAAAUGGACCUUAUCCAGCAUAAAUCUAGGUGAUUCCCUUGAUUCUGGUGAACUUGCUUGGACCUGACAAGUUGCAACCACUUAUGUCCACUGUUUUUGAAAGAAUACUCUAUGCAAUAAUAUGCAAAAAAGCUCCUGGUUGGUAAGACCUGCUGCAAUUGGCUUAGCUUCUGUAAAUCAUUGUAGUAUGGCAAUAAAUAAAUAUAUUUUGUUUCACCAUUUGAAGUGCCUUAUUUUGUUUCCUACCAUUGUUUUGAUAGGAUCAUCUUAAACAUCAGUGAUACAUCGAGCAAUACGUGUGCUUCAUGCGGCAAGAUUCAUUCGUUGCCAAGUUGACCUGAUCACUGGAGUAUAGCAUGUAGGAAAGUAGACAUUAUCCGGAUGUGUAGGCAGUAGGCGUUAUCAGUUUUCCGUAUGUAAGUGUGCGUCGUUGAUAGCUAGAAUCUGACAAACCUUCAUGAACAUGAGUGGGUUUGUUGCUGCAGGUGGAAUGGCACCUUUAGUCCAAGUGGUUUUGGUCACUGCAGAUCCUUGUAAUUGCCAUUGUAUUGAAGCAGCACUAAAGAGUUGAUAGCCUGCCUACUUUUGUUGUAAACAUGGUGUCCUUUGCGUAUCUACUUUUGGUGAAGUGAAAUGCGAAUUGCUGAUUGGCUAUAUAUCUUUUGUAAAAUGUUAUCAUUGUAUUUAUGUGGACUAUACGGUAAUGAUGGAUGCAAAUUUUUUUUAAAAAAAAUCAAGUUUUCCUUUCUAAAACGGUCAUUUACAUGUGAAUUAGUGAACAACACAGUAUUUUAUGAUCAAUUUGCAUAUCAACGGUCUCUCAGGUCUUUCAGGAGCUUUACAUACCUUUUUGCCAAACCAACAAUUUCACAGCUAUUUCAACUAGGCAACUUUCAGCUUUUUCAUAGCUCACAACAGCUUUUUCAUAGCUCACAGUCCAACCAAACAGACUCUAAGCUAUACAUGACACUGUCACUUACAUAAAAGUAACAAAGAGCGUGGAUGCGUGCAACAUGGUGAAGCUUUUCUCGAGAUGCUGCGCCAUCAAACAACGGCUUUAGCCAUGUACGGAGUACCAUGGAAGAGAGAUGUCACAUGAGCGAGAUGCAUGGUUGCUUGAUUGCUCCAAAGAAAGCUACGGCGACAAAGAUGAUCUUUACAAGGAGGGCUACGAGCGUGCUUGGUAUUUCGGAGAAAGGCAAAGGAACCGUCAAUUUUUAAGUGUUCACAUCAAUAUGAUUACUCCCAAUAUGAUUACUCCCGAAAGGAAUUUAAAAGAACUUUUAAAUUUUAUUCCAUUUUAAUUUUUAAAGAAAUAGAGAGUAAGGUAAACGUGCUCAUAUUUCGUAUUACAAUUAUUCUUACAUUUGGGCACCAAUUCGCUACCGACUAUCCGACUGUUUUUAUUUUGCUCUCUCCUUUUGCCAAUGUAGUCAUUCAAUCUUCAAAAUCCAACUCAACAGCAUGACGCGAAACAAUGUUCUCUCCCAUCCAGCAAUAUUUGUCUGGUUCGCAUGCAAAAAUCCAAAAUUUUCACAUUUAGUAGCGUGCUUGAAAUGGUGAACCACGCUAGGCACCAAACGGUGAUACGGAAGAGGCACGUUCCUGGUGCCGGCGCCGACAAAGCAAAAGGGAAAGCGGGGCCAGGAAAGGGAGAGGCGGCAGCCGGAAGGAAUCGAAGCAUCAAAGGACAGAGUACAGACUACAGAGAGGGACACCCAGACAGCGAGAUCCCCUCGCCCCGCACGCCCGCACUCCACUCCACUCCACUCCACUCCCCCGGCUCACACGCGCGCCCGCCAUUGCUGCCCCCCUUCGCUUUCUAGCAAGCUCCCCUGUCCCCCUCCACCGCUAGCUAGCUCGCCUAUAUCAUUAUUGCCUCGCACCGCACGCUGCUCUACCCUGCUCUGCUUUGCUCGGCUGCGCUCGAAAGAUGGAGAGGUGGGCGCCGGCGCCGGCGCCGGCGAGGGAGAGGCCCAGGCGGCGGGCCGGCCAGCCGUCCUUCUCGUCCACGCUGCUCGACGCCAUCUGCGACUCCUUGGACGAGCAGCCCGGCGGUGGCGGGGCAGGAACGACGGCGGCCGCGGCGAGAUCGGCUGGGAGCGCCAAGAAGCAGCAGGAGGCGGCCAUGCAUUACUACUACUACAAGCCGUCCUUGGCCGCUAGCCACCGGGCGGCGCCGCCGCCCGCGGACGACUGCUCCGGCCGCGGCUACUUCUCGUCGUCCGAGGUCGAGUACUCCCUCCGCCGCCUCCGUCCCAUCCGUACCUCUGGCGGCGUCGGGGCGGCCUCUGUGGCUCCCGCGGAGAAGCAGCACCAGCAGCAGCCCCCGGCGACGGACAAGGCGAAGGGCGCGAGGAAGCCGGCCGCCGCCUCGGCCCGCGGCGGCUGCCGCAGGCCGGCCUCCCCCGGCUCGCGGCUUGCCAGCUUGAUCAACGCCAUCUUCUCCGGCAAGCGGCAUUCCGCGCGGCAGCACCCGGCUCCGGCGGACGAGGAGCCGGCCUGCUCCACGGCGCCGUCGACCGCGCGCCCCUGCCUCAACAAGACGCCGCCGUCGGCGAGGGCGGCGCGGGCGCGCGCGAGCCGGAGCCGGAUCAGGACCGUGCGGUUCUUGGACAUCGACGGCGAGGUCGCCGUUGCUGCGGCCGCCUCGGGUUGCAGGCGAGUCCCGGUGGUGGAAGUGGAGGACAGCGACGGCGGCGAGGAGAGCAGCGACGCCAGCUCCGACUUGUUCGAGCUCGACAACCUCGCGGCCAUUGCUCCGGCGACCGGUGGCGGCCAUUGCCGUAGAGCGUGCGCUGACGAGUUGCCGGUGUACGGGACAACUGGGGCUGGGCUUCGCCACGACAUUGGCCGCCGCCUUCCGUUCGGGUAUAGCAGCCAUGGUCGGAGUUGUAGCAGGGUUAUUUGAUUAAGAAUACAUAGAGGGUGUUAACUGUAAAGUAAUUUAAUAUAAUGGGUACUUCCUCUUCUUUUUCAAGAAUUUCCAAGCUGUGUGUGUUUAUAUUUGCGCUUGCGACAAGUACCUCUUUCUUCUACUCACUGUAAACGGAAUAACAUCAUCUUGACUCUGAUAAAUUUUAUCAUAUCCACUAUAAAAUUUGCACCAUAGAAAAUGUGCCAACACAAACCCAGUGCAUUCAAAGAAACAAGAAAUGUUGAAGAAGCUGGUAAAAUUCUAGUAGUCAAAUAGAUGCGCCUUUUGACCCUGAAAUAAUUUUUAUUGCCUUACCACCAUGCAAAGGUGCCUUUCUGAUCUAGUUAAUGUAAGACCAUAACUUGGAAUUCUAGAAAAUUUGGCUUAUUUAGAGUUUUAGACGUAUCUUAGAGUCACUCCUAGUUUGCUGCUAACAACAUAAUCGUGUAAGAUGUGGAGCAGUGUUACAAAUUUCCGACUAAGGUGAUUUUGGUAGCGGGACUUAAAAGUUAAAAUAGUUAGGGUGUGUUUGGUUGGGCUGUGACUUUUGGAAAAGCUGCUGUGAGCUGUGGGCUGUGGAAAAGCAGCUGUGAGAAAGCAGCUGUGGGAAAAGCAGAGGACCGUUUGGUUAGAGGAGCUGUGAAACUGUAGGUUGUGUAAGAAAUACCUGUAAUGCCCCUAAAGGUCUCUGAGUGUGUUUAUAUGCAAAUUGCUCUUAACAAAAUAAAUUUUAUAUAUUUUUCAUCCAUUAAAGUGAUUGGUCCACAUAAAUAAAAUUAUAUCCAUCAACAUGGAUGAGCACGGAGUGGCGGCCGGCUGGCCGGCGGCCAGCAACCGGGGGCGACGGGCGGCGGGGUGCGGCGGCCGGGGUCGUCGAGCGGCGGCUGUCUAGGGGGCGGGGUGUGGUGGGCGGCCGGGGGCACCGGGAGGUGGGCCAGCGACCGAGGGCGGCGGACGGCCGACCAGCGGAAGGCGGACGGCUGGCCAGCAGCCGACAACCUGGGGUGACGGGCGGCGGGCGGCGGCGGUCGGGGUCGUCGGGCGGCGGCCGUCCGGGGGUGGGGGUGUGGCGGGCGGCCGGGGGCAUCGGGCCGGCGGCCAUCCGGGGGGCGGGGUGUGGCGGGCGGCCAGGGGCGCCGGGAGGUGGGUCGGCGACCGAGGGCGGCGGCCGGCGAGCCGGCGGAUGGCGGACGGCGGGCCAGCAGCCGGCAACCUGGGGCGACGGGCGUCGGGUGGCGGCGGUCGGGGUCGUCAGGCGGCGGCCGUCUGGGGACGGGGGUGUGGCGGGCGGCCGGGGGCGCCGGGUCGGCGGGAAGCGGACCGGCGUCCGGGGCCGGCGGAUGGCGGGCCGACGGACAGCGGAUGGCGGGCCGGCGGACAGCGUUCGGCGGCGACGGGCGGCGGGGUGCGGCGCCGGGUCGGCGGGAAGCGGACCGGCGUCCGGGGCCGGCGGAUGGCGGGCCGGCGGACAGCGACGGGCGGCGGGGUGCGGCGACGGGUCGGUGACGGGAGGAGCGGACAGACGUGAUGGGAGAAAUAGAUGGGGGCAAAAAAUGAAUCGUUACCUUCAUAAUCAGUGGCAGGUGGGUAAUUUUUUACCCCAAAAGCACUUGAAAGCAGGGGGGAAGGUGCUUUUGAUUUUAUACUAGAGCAAAAGUAGCUUUUGGGCAAAAGCACGUAGAGCUUUUAGGUCCUUUGGUUGGCUUUUAGCUUUUGCAAAAGCAAAAGCAGGUUGGAAAGCCCAACCAAAGGCACCCUUAAUAGAGGAGACGAUGUUACAAAUCUCAGAGUUGAUCUGCUACUUGGCAAAGUUUCAUUGACAUGAUGCUACAUGAUCACUGCUAAGCUCCCUAGCAAGUAUCACCGUACCAAAGCAAAAAAGGGAAGGAAAGCAAGCUAAGCAUCAGGUAUUUUUAUUUCUCUAGAAAGGGAGGGAAAGCCAGUGAAAGAGAUCCAUGCAGGGGGAUAGGGCUGACAGGGGUUGCACACGCCGUGUCUCCUCUGCACGAGAGCGCAUCAUCACGGGGAUCACCAAUGGAGCUUGUCAUGCUCGGCCGUGACAGCCGGCGACUUGCGAGCCAAGGGAAAUGAUGCCAGCGAUCAUAGCCCCUUUUCAAUAGCCUUAGCAAUUGGUGAGCUGAGCAGAGGGAGUGAUUCUCCGCCCAGUGACAUAUACUCCUAAAAUGAAUUCUGUCACAUUGUAUAGAGAGAAAUUCUUCGUAAAAUUCUCCAAGGCGAGCAACAGAACGUGUUACUUUUAGAUAAAAGGGAAAGGGAAAAGGAACGCUAUGACGUGUGUGUUUGUGUGUUGCCAACACAAAGCGUGCACGGCUCAUGUUGCUGAUACCAAAGGAACAAACAUAUUUGGCGACGUGAACAGUGCAAAUAUUGGACGGGAGAGGAGCGUACCGGUCUUCCCUCACACACACAACGGUGCCGUCGAUGUGAAAUGGCCAUUCCAUUUUUGUCGACGAAGAUGCGAUUUUUGGCGUCGAUCUCGAGAGACAACGGAGAAAGCAAAAGGGUGGAGGCCCUGACGUUUCAUUCCACCCUGUGCUGUGAUAGUCUUUCCAUUCCCCCGAGGCUGCUGCCGAAAGCACCCGCGCCCGACCGGUGACCGAUCGAGAUACCACGGCGGAUCGGCAGCGGCCGACGGUUGCCUGCUCGUGCUCGAUCAGGCUUGCUCCUGCCUUCGCCGAUCCCCAAGAAUAUUUGGGAGUUCACGCGCCGUUUCUUGUCUCCUUGCUCCACCCUGUGAGCGAUCAGUCUCGUAUCACGCAUGCUUCCAACCAGCAUCUGUCAUGUCGCGCCGCGUGCGAAAGGGCGUGCCGGUGCCAGGGCGCUGGGUGGUAGGAUCGCGGCCACGGCCUCGGCCUCGGUCUCUCAGGAAAACGCGCGGCAGGGUGCGGAACAGAGCAGAGCGGCCCGGCGGGCAAGGCAAAGGACCGUGGCGGAAGGGAGGGUGACGGUAUGCUGAGUUGCUGACGCAGGAUGCCCGAGCUUGACAUGGGCUCAGUCACGGCCCAAUGUAGUUUUGUUUCAGGUGGUGGGUUGUAUCCUGAUCAAACAGGCAAUCUUAGCUCAGAUAUGUUACAUACCGCAUGCCAAAAGGUACACAUGUCUAGUAGCCCAGAUGGAUGGUUGCCGCCGGUGUCGGAAGGACAGCCGGCGGGUGAGACAUGACUGCCGGGAUUGAGGGAGAUGAUCUUGGCAGAGAAACAUGAACGCCGUCGGGAUCGCUGCCGGAGAUUGCGAGCGGUUUCAUCGUGGGCGUGAUGCUCCCUACGGCCUGGGACUGUAGCGAUUAGAGUGUGUCAUGGGCUGGUGCCCACCCAAUAUGCUAGCGUCUGGCUUCGUUCUGGUAAUCUGGUGUUGUGCCUCCGCUCUUGCCAAAUCAUCGUAACCUUCUUUAUUUGUUCCUGAUUCGUUGUGCGAAUUGUGUUGUGCCAGACUUGUUGGUUCCGGCAAGGGCGCUCCCAUUCCCAUGGUCGUUGUUCGGAUCGACGACGACGAAGUCGAGGAAUGACGAGCAAGAAUAUAACAUCAUGGUGAGAUUGUCUCUGACGAAAAAUGGCUAUGUACGGUUUGUUGAAUCCUUCUGCUCCCAUAGGCAGAGAAGCAAAUAGCCUAUAUUUGCUCUAUUUUCCGUGUGUUUAAUGGUGCAAAUUCUGUCGCCGUCUCGUUGAUGCCGUUUUGCACGUGAUGCGGGUGAACGUCGUCGUUGCCGCCGCGUCUCUGUCGGGUCGUCGAUGAUGAGGGGCCUCUAGAGGCUGACGGUUGAACUCCACGUUUCCGAUAUCCCGGGCCAACUCAGUGAGCGAUGCGCGACAGAUUAGCAAUUAAAAAUCAAUCUAUGCGGGAAUGUAAAUGAACAAAGAGAUUGAAAUUGAAAGAAUGAAUAUUUCAUAUUUAAUUAUAUAUGGUGCCGAUGCCGUUUCGAGGUUAAAAGAUAUUUAAAGGUGUCUCUUUACGAAUAGAAUAAUUUUAAUUCUAACAACCAGCACAUCACCAACACAGAUGAUGUACUUACAUUAAUUAAUAAGUUUUUUUUUGCUAUGGUUGUUAACUCGAGACCUUUAUUUUCAUUUCAAUAGAAAAGGAAGCUAUUUCAGAAGAUGUCAGAUCGAAAGAGGCAGGGAGAGGAAAGGCAUGUAACAAACUCAUGCAUGUCACAGCAAUCACCGAAGAUCCCUCGGCCUGUACUCCCCGCGCAACCAAGCAUUCAAGCCGCCCAACCAAGCAUUCAGGCGCCUAGCUAGGCAGGUAGCUAGGCACCAAGAUACUCCGCCGUGAGCCCGUGAGAGGCUUGAAGAUACGCAGCUCAUCGGAUUCGAGCGCGGCGGCGAGCGUGCCCACAAGUCGGCGCUGAUAAUCCACGAACCGUUGCCUCCCGGAUGAGCGGUGACGACGAGGUUGGCCGAGCAGAGCCCCUCGCUCGCCCAGGUCGGCAUGGCCAAAGCGGCGUGCCCGAAGCCGAAGUCCGUGUCGAGAGGGAGCGAGGCCCACACCCUCUGGCUAAGGGUCGGCCGAGCCCCACCGUCGCCUUCUCCACGACAUCCUCGCCCUUGUGCUCCUCCACCCAGUCCACGAGCUCCUGGACGCGUUCGUCGUAGUCGACGGAGGUGAUGGCGUCCCGCACCAUGGCCGCGACGCCGGCCAUGGUUUCCUGCUGUAUCGUUGCCACGGCCGCUUCCCCUACCACGUAGGGCGUGACGUUGCCCACUUAGUCGCGCAUGGCCGCGCGGAGCUCCGGCGACGUGACCCGCCGCCGCGCGUCCACCCACCACCUGACCACCCCAUGCGGCAGGUCGCCUUGGGCCCACGCUUGGAUGCGCCGCCCACGGCGGCCGCUAAGGACUUCCAUAGGUACGUGGACACCGCCUGGACUCGCGACGCGCGCUGACCCGCCUCUCCGCCGCUCGCCAUGGCCUUCAGCCUCGCGAUGUCCUGCGCCUCGACGUAGUACAGCCUCUCCACGACGCUGUCCCUGGCCGUCAGGACGUUGACAAGGUGGGCGUCGUCGAACGGCGUGAACAUCUCGUCGAGAGAGGAUCCGUACGACCAGGGGCGGACCCAGGCAGGUCCAGGCAGCGCAACUGGAGCGAUCGAGCCGGGCCUAAACAUUAGGGGCUCUAACUAUUGAACUUUAACUAGAGGUUAAGAAGAUAUUAGUACGUAAUAUUCGUCCUUUAAUCCUAUAACAUGAGUACGUAAUUUCAUAUUGCAGUUCUUUGUAUGAAAAAACCAUGUACUUAUUACUCACAUACUGAAAUUCAAAUAUAUCUUAAUAUUUGUGUUUCACUACUAUAGUAUAUAGUAUAUAUAGGACCCCAUUUCUUGGUUUGCUCCAGGGCCUCAAAAUCUCCGGUACGAUCCUGCACCCAGGUAUUGACGGAAGAAAAUUGGGUGCACACCGGAUGCGUUUUCAUCCGGUGCAUACCCAGUCCCCCCGCGCGAUGCGUAGAUCUGACGGACUGCGUCGCGCAUGCGCUCGUUCCUCGUCCUCAUGGAAUCGCCUCGGCUCGGCUCCCAGCCAGCUUGCGCCGGCGCCCAGGCAAGACGAGCUGCUCGGCCUGCAUUUCCUCGCCUCAAAACAGAUCGAGCCGCUCCUCCUUCCGUCCUUCGUCCUUCUCCAGGAGACAGACUUGCCGUCUCGUCGAGGUAGGUGAGUUUCCCGGUUCUUGUGUGAUGAAUUUUGUUUCUUGCACUGUGCAUACUGCUCUUUUUUCCUUGAGAGCCAUUGUUGGAUGCUUCGUCGGUGGAAAGGCACAUGCUUCAUGUUUCAUACAUCUUUAUUUCCUUCUGCGUGAUUUUCAUUCAGUUAAGUUGAUUUGCAAAUUUUUCUCAACUUUCACUUCUCCUGCCUUAAUUUUUAGCAUUUUGUUGUUAGUUUUCCCUCUUCUGUGCUACUCCUGUUGCACACAAGCAUGUUAACUCUAUGGUGCUACUAGAUUUAGAAAUCAGCUCCAUUCAGUUUAAUUUGUUUCAUAUCAGUGUUAUGAUCAUCUUGUUAAAGAACUACAUCUUUAUUUCCCCCAACUGUUACCAUACUGAUCUGCUUCCUUCUAUCUAUUUCCAGCAUAUAUCUGUAUCUCAGGGCUGAAUUCAUGGAGACAAAGAUGCCAUUUGAUAUGAACAAUCUUAUGUUCCACAUCAAGAGAAUAGUGUAUCCUUCUAUCAGACUUGGCUAUCAAUCUGCUUGUGACUAGCCUGUAGUACUUGGCAUUGGACUUCUGUUGCUGUUCCUGCACAAACUUUGCCCUUCUCUGUUUACUUUCCUUAUGUCUUCAUCUCCAGUGUUCCUGUUAACUGCACUUCUUCUUGGAGCACUAUUGAGUUAUGGGGAACCAAGUGCUCCAGUGAUUGGAGAAGAAACACUGGAGAACCAGAAAAAAUCAUCCCCUGGAUCCAAAGUCUCUGUUACUGAAUGUUCAGUUGAGGAGGCGGCGGGCAACCUGGGAUCACGGCUGUGGCGCAGGAGAAGGACGAAGGACGGAAGGAGGAGUGGCACGAUCUAUUUGAGGCGAGGAAACGCAGGCCGAGCGGCUCAUCUUGCUUGGGCGUCGGGGCAAGCUGGCUGGGAGCCGAGCCGAGGCGAUUCCGUGAGGACGAGGAACGAGCGCAUGUGCGACGCAGUCCAUCGGAUGGAAGGGGCGUCCACGCGUCGCGCGGGUGGACUGGAUAUGCACCCGAGCACCCGAUGCAUUUUGCAUCCAGUCUACACCCAAUUUUCUUCCGUAUUGACCAAGAGGGGGGCUGAUCCAAACUUAAUAUAAGAUUAAUUAAGUGUUUUGCACCUCUAUUAGUUGUAUAAUUUUUCUUAGAUCUCCACUGUUUUUCCAGCCUUGGACCUGGGCUGCAGCCUGGGCAGCUCGGAUCCUGGAUCCGCCACUACGUACGACGAUGGGUCACGGGGGCGGAGCGCUGAGUGGUCGUAGCUCGGGGCUCCCACGGCGGCGAUCGUCCCGGAACAGGCGAGCUCCGAGCUUGUCCAGCUGAGCCUCAUCGCGCUGUUCCCGUCCAAGACGAGGUUGUUGUUGCUCCAUGCCACCGAGAAGCCGCCGCAGGCGAACGACACGAGCUGCACCGAUAGCAGGACGUCGUCGGCGUACGGCACCAAGAUCCUCUUCAAGGACUCGUCAGCCAGGCCGAAGUCCAGGCUCCGAAGGGGCACCUCGGCUUCGCCGACGACAAGCUCCGCGCCUUGGUUGCGGCAGUGGAUCUCCGGUAGGCCGGAACCAGGGUUAGUCACUGCGACCAAUCAGUGGGAAGAAGUGGUCGAGCAAGGAUGGUAAGCCGGCCUCGAAGGCGGCAACCACGGCGUCGAAGUCUCCGGUGAGAGGCUUGGGGUAGAUGCACAAUACUGAGGUCUGGUAGGUGUUUGGGAUGAGGUCAAGGUUGGAGACAGUGAUUACAUCCGCUCGCGGCUCCUUGGGGUGGUCGGACACUUUCACAAGGCGUCGAUUCACGACACGGACUUGCAACUCAGAGCUACGAACCUGAGGUGUCGCCAUUUUCUUCCAGUAUCCUAUCAGCACGAACCUCUCAGGCUACAGUGUAUGGUUCGACGUCUCUUUGGAUGAAUGUCACGCUGCAAAAUGUGAACCCAUAUAUAGGGCUACAACCAAAUAGUUAACAGAGAUAUCCCGUCGUUGGAUAACCAAAUCUCGAGGAAAGAUAAUUCAGUCAACUUUCCAAUGCAAGAAACAAAGCAUCUUUUGUGCUUCCAAUGUGAAAUUAGGUGGAACGUGAUGCCUUCUCAGGCUCACGGCUUCGUGUUAUAUAGGCCAGGGUUUUCAAUUCCGAUAUAAAUUUUUUUUGGCCCCCUUCAAAAAACGCGACAUUCCUGAAAUUUUAGAAAAUUUAAAUUCUUUUCCGGUCAAAUGUCACUGGAAUUUAAAAAUUUGAUUACUUAGAGAGAGUAGGUAAGGUAAAUAGAUAAACAACCUUCAGUCACAUCAUUGUGGGAAGUGUAGCACACGACCUGUUAAGAGGAGCAGAAGAGUUGUACCACUGCGCCAUUGCUUCCUUUGAGUUUAUACGACUUUGUUCAGGUUUAUAAUAUAUUAUAAUUCAAAUAUGUCUGAAAUGUUUUAGCCGAAAAGAAUUUUUUUCGUUCCCCAUCAAAAAAUGCGAAAUUCCAGAAAUUUUGACGAUAUUUCGCCGAAAAUGUGAACCUUUAUAGGCUAGAAAAAUCCCCUUGUGUGGCAUUACAACUUGGACUAUAAGAUACAUCUCAACAACCUCCCAAACUUCCUAUACAAGAAUCUAUACUUGGUUACAAAGAAACCCUAUCACACGAAACCUCUAGAACCUACUGAACAUGAUAUCUGUUUACACCCCCUGUCAAUCUCAACUCUCUACAAUGUUGAGAUUGUACCGAAAUGACUUCAACAUUCUAUUCUCCAGAGAGAGGCUUUGUAAAGCUGUCUGCUAAUUGAUCUCCAAAGUUGAUGAAUCUGACAUCUAGAAGUUUACGAGCUACCUGCUCUCUCAUAAAGUGAAAAUCUAUUUCAAUGUGCUUAGUCCGAGCAUGGAACACAUGAUUCUCUGUCAAGUACUUUGCGCCAAAUUGUCACACCACAAAUUAGCAGCUGCAGGAUGUGAUAUCUUUAAUUCACCAAGUAAUUUCUGAAUCCACAUUACCUCUGCAGUUGCGUUGGCUAGUGCCUUGUAUUCAGCUUCAAUGCUUAAUCUGGAAACUGUGGGUUGCUUGCAUGCACUCUAGGAUAGUAGGUUAGAGCCAAGAAAUACUGCAAAGCCUCCUGUAGAUUUCCUAUCAUCCGGGCAUCCAGCCUAGUCUGCAUCUGAGAAGGCACUAACAAGCAUGGAGGUGGACUUCUUAAUGUGUAAUCCAAACUUUAUUGUGCCUUUAACAUACCUGAGAAUUCUCUUGACAGCUGACCAGUGGAUUAAUGACGGUGCAUGGAGAAACUGACAAACUUUGUUAACAACAAAAGAAAUGUCUGGUCUAGUCAAAGUUAAGUACUGUAAUGCACCAACAAUACUCUUGUACCAUGUAGAAUCCUCUGGUCCAAGUUUCUCACCAUCAUGAACAGUAAGUUUUUCCGUUGUUGCCAUAGGUGUACCGAUAGGUUUACAAUUACUCAUAUUGACACAUUCAAGAAUCUCAGUGGCAUAUCUUUCUUGUGUAACCACAAGACCAUCUUGUAACCUCUUGAUCUCAAUCCCCAAGAGGUAGUGGAGUGCACCUAAAUCCUUCAAGGCAAAGUCCUUUUCAAGAUCACACAAAAGAGCUGUAGUAGCUUCCUGCGAAGAACUAGCAACAAUGAUAUCAUCUACACACACAAGGACAAAUAUAGUAUAACCACCUUUGUUAUAGAAGAAUAAAGAUGUGUCACCUUUAGAAGGAACAAAACCAAGCUCUUCCAGCUUAUGACACAACCAAGAGUAAAAUCCUGGUUUGCUUUUGUCUUCAUAACCUGGUGGUUGAUGCAUAUAGACUUCCUCCUCUAAGAUGCCAUGUAGGAAGGCAUUUUGAACAUCUAGCUGAUAAAGAUGCCAACCUUGUGACACUGCAAGAGAUAAUAUGAGUUGAAUGGUGGCAGCUUUGACUACUGGACUAAAUGUGUCCUCAUAGUCAAUCCCAUAUCGUUGCUUAAACUCCUUUGCAACAAGCCUAGCUUUAUACCGAUCUAUGGUUCCAUCUGCCUUCCUUUUAACCUUGUAAACCCACUUGGAUCCUAUGACAUUCUUGUGUUGUUGUUGAGGAACUAAAUGCCAAGUUUUAUUUUUAACCAAAGCUUGAAACUCAACAUCCAUUGCCGCACGCCAAUGAGAGUUAUUAAGAGCAUCAACAAGAUUAGUAGGUUUAGAAACAGUAGCAAGGUUACCAAAGCGUACCAUCCCAUUAGUAUACUAUUUUGGUUUACGGAUACCAUGUUGAAGCCGCAUGACAGGUCAUGGUAGUGUCGAAGGAGUGGUAGACGACGCCGGAGCAGCAGGCGUUGAUGUAGAAGUCAUUGUAGGAGCACCCGGUGCAGAGAAUCUAGGGGAAAGAAUCCCAACAGGUUCGACUGCAGAUUGCUGUCCCCCCGCGGUCGGAGCCAAGGAGCCAGAUGACGCAGCUGGAUCGGCUCCCACUGCAAGUGGAGAGGAUGCGGGCCCCGCCGAGCCACACAUCGAGGGAGGAGGGGCUGGUGGAGCAUGCCCGGGAGGCAGCUGUAGGUAGGACGCCACACGGCGUGUCGGAGGAGUCUCCCGCAUCGUGGGAGACCGACGCCUAAUCCGAGGACGAUUCGCCUGCCAGGGGUGCAGGAGGAUCUGCUCCAGGCUGCAUGCAGGCUGUGUUGCCACCAUUAGGGGGUGAGUUUUGCAUGAAAUCACACCCAAAAUGCUCCAAAUUUUCACCAGAAGCUGCAGAAACAUUAGAAGGAUCUGUUGGGGAUGCUGUAGCUGUAGUAGAAUCAUAAGGGCAUGAUGAAUUAAACAGGAAUUGAUCAUUAGUGAAAACACCCCCUAGUAAUGAAUUGGGAAGAAGCAAAAUUUCAGAUCGAAGUUGAGCGCUGGCAUUAGGGUGUAGCUGAGCAAAAGGAAAAACACCUUCAUCAAAUACAACAUCACGGGAGAUGUAAAUGCAACCAACGGAGAUGUCUAAGCAUUUAAACCCUUUAUGUAGAUUACUAUAACCCAAAAACACACAUCUCUUUGAGCGAAACUGAAGUUUUCAAUUGUUGUAAGGUCAUAAGUUGGGCCAGCAGGCACAACGAAAGGUGCGACAAGAGGAGCAAUCCGUAGUUUGCUCAAACAGAAGUUCCAAAGGAGUAGAGUUCUCAAUAACUUUGGAGGGUAAAUGAUUUAUAAGAAAGGUCACAGUGAGAAAGGCUUGAUCCCAAUACUUGAGCGGCAUGGAAGCAUGAGCAAGGAGGGAUAGACCAACUUCAACAAUGUGUCGGUGUUUAUGCUCAGCGGACCCAUUUUGUUGGUGGGCAUGUGGACAUGAAACAUGAUGGGAGUUUCCAAUGCGCUGAAAAAAGUGUUUAAUUGUUGAUACUCCCCUCCCCAAUUUAUUUGCAUUGCAACAAUUUUGCGAUUAAAUAGGCGCUCAACAAGAUUUUGCCAAAAGAGGUGGGAGCUGGCCCCCAUACAUAUGAGAAAACAAGAUGUAAAGGACAUCUAGAUAUGCUAGAGGACCUUGGGUACGGCAACUGAUUGCUCUUGCCUUGUUGACAGGCGGCCAGACCAUGGCUUUAUUCGAAUCUGGAACAAAAGAUAAACUAUUCCGACUACGAACUUGUUGGACAACCGGAAGUGAUGCAUGACCAAGACGGCUGUGCCACAAGGAGGUUGUCAGUUUGAUGGCUCCAAACACCUAUUUAUUGGGGAAGGACUUCAAAGGAUAGAGGCCUUCUUCACAUCUGCCUUGAAGAAUUAUUUUCCUCGUCAUUUGUUCCUUAAUUAGAAAAUGAUUAGGAUGGAACUCAAGAAAAGUGUCAUUAUCUUUGGCUAUGAGAUGAACAGAAGGAAGGCUUUUUGUUGCUUGGGGGAAAAUGCAAGAUAUUUUUGAGAACUAGAUCUUUACUAGGGGUGUGUAAAACACUACGACCAAUUUGAUUAAUCACCAUACAUGCUUCGCUGGUGGUGUGGACUUGAUCUCCUCCGGAGUACUUGUCCAUGAUGGUCAGCUUGUCAAGUUCCCCGGUGAUGUGAUCUGUUGCCCCUGUGUCCAUGUACCAGUUGCUGUCGGUGCCAUAGGAAGUUGUUGUAGUUGAUGCGGACUUGGGAUCAGGUAUGCCGAUGAAGGAGGCGUCGAACCUCUUAUAGUAGUGGAAUCACGGUGUGGCCCUCCUUGCCACACAACUAGUAGGUAGGACGGUGACCAUUGUUGCCGCCACCUCUUGCUCCUUGGCGCCCACCAAUGCGGCCACGACCACGACCAUCGCCGCCACAACCGCGACCACGGCCAUUGCUGCCACUAUGCUCAUGGGAAGCCAUGUUCAUGGAUGAGUUGUUGGAGCCAUUCCCAACCAACAGAUCCAUCCUUUGUUCAAAGGAAACAAGUUGGGUGUAGAGCUCACCAAGUGUGAUGGGUUCGGUGUGUGCAGCCAUCACAGAGAUGACAGGGUUGAAGUCGACGUUGAGACCGGCGAGGAUGUAUGAUGCAAUCUCCUCAUCUUCAAGCUUCUUGCCAGCGGAUGCCAUCUCAUCCGCUAGUGCAUUCAUCUUGCCAAAGUAGUCGGCGACGUUGGAGCUCCCGUUCUGCGCAGUGGCCAGGGCCAUCCGUGUGUUGAUGACGCGUGCCCUGGACUAAGAGGCAAACAUGCCCUCAAUCACAAUCCAUGCCUAAGCCGCCAUAGGGAGCGAUGCGAUCUAUGCCAAGAUGUUGCGCAAGACUGAUGAGAGCAGCAAGUUAAGGACCUGCUGGUCAUGAGCAACCUAGAUGUCAUGCUCCGGGUUGGGGAUCUCCUUGGCAUCCUUGAUGAUGAUCUUCGGCGGAGGAGCAGCAAUUGCGUCGAGGAAGCUGGCCUUCUAUGCACCACGAAGGGUAGAUAGGAUCUGCGCCUUCCACAUCUGGUGGUUGGUGCAGGUGAGCUUCUCCGUCACGGGAAAGCUGAGCGAAGCUACAGCAGAUGCUACGGAAGAUAAGGGGGACACCAAGGGAUAUUCUAGAUAGAAACCUAGCUCUGAUUACCAUGUGAAAUUGGGUGGAACGUGAUGCCUUCUCAGGCUCACGGCUUCGUGUUAUAUAGGCUAGGAAAAGCCCCUAGUGUGGCAUUACAACUUGGAGUACAAGAUACAUCUCAACAACCUCCCAAACUUCCUAUACAAGAAUCUACACUCGAUUACAACAAACCCUAUCACACAAAGCCUCUAGAACCUGCUGAACACGAUACCUGUUAACAACUAUAUAUGUACUAUGCUUCGUGCUACCUUGAGAAUCCAAAAGAAGAAUUCUCAACCAAGCUGACGUAUAUGGUUUGAUGGAUUUUGGAUGAGUGUUAUGCUGUAUGAAUCCUUAUCGAAUGCAGAAAUGACGUAUAGGUGGAAUGGUAAAGAAUGAUUGCGCAAGAGGGCAGGUCGUGGGUUUGAAGGCUAGAUACUGCACACGCGUGUAUUUCGCAUGAAAAGCGCGUGACUUGUGACCGUGAGGGCUGGCUCAAGGUGGUCCUCUAGACCUAAAUAAUAUUGUUCCUAUUAUCGUUUACAUAUUCCCUUAUGCCUGCUAGUGCCGUUCCUGUUGGCUUCGAUGCUGGCACAGAUAAUCAUCCCAUUCGAGUUAGUUUCGUGGUUCCGAUCCAAUCAUCUAUACGAUGAGGUUUCGUGCUAGCACGGAUAAGGUGCCCUACGGUAGUGAAUGAGACUUUACAUUGAGAAUGAUUUAAAUGAUAUGUCCCACGGUUUGAUAACCCGAUCUUGAAGAAAGAUAAUUUAGUCAACUACCCAUCAUGGGACACAAGGCAUCUUUUGCGCUUCCAAUUAUAUUUAUGCUGCCUUAAGAAGCAUACUCAAAUGCCUCAUAAGUUGACCUGUGUCCUGUAGGUAUGCAGCUACUAUCGUGCAACGAGAUGCAUUUACGCACCAGAGCAGCAAGUUCAAUAGUAGAGUCCAGUAUAUUACUCCUAUCUCUAAACCUGGGCUGUCUUGUCACUUAUUGUUUCUAAAAAUGUCAUGACUAAUGACAACAGCAAUACUCAUGUAAUAUAUAUAAUAUUGUAUAUCGCUAGUGGGCUAGCCUUUUCGUUCUCUCUCGCUGCCUCUGCAGCCAGCACAUAGCCUCCUUGUUACAAUGAGCAUAAGACAAGCAAAAGAGAGCACAAGUGAAAUGAAAGCAGUCUAUUGUUGCUUAUCCAUCCAUUUCAUAUGGAAAGUUCCAAAGCAACGACCUCCAAAGGAAGUAUUUCAUACAUAAGUUUAUCAAAUGCCGAGUGUGUUUUUUGUAAGACUUGACAUAAGCCUACUAUUGUGUUUAAGCCAUAUCAUUAUCAUAAAUGAAUAACACUGUCUUGCCUAAUUUAUCUCCUCUCCAUUAAUUUGUUCUACCUUAGAGCCCAUUGUCGGUGAUUAUGAUAGCCUAAACAAGUUAUUUAGGGACCCUAGAGUCACAAAGCAAACUCUAAGGUUAGUACAGGGGAGGAAGCCGUCCACUUUGAAGGAGGCGAACAUCCAGGUACUAGUGGAUGCGAAUCUGCUCUAGGAGAAGGAGUUCGCAGAUUGGAGAGAAGCAGCCGGAAAUCCGUGGCCCUUUGAGGUGUACUCGGACGAGACAGUGAUCUUCGCGCACUUCAUCGAGCGCAGGUUGGCACUGCCAUCGUCCGAGUUCUUCAGGGGUUUGCUAAGGUAUUACAAUCUAGAGCUUGUCCAUCUCAACCCAAACUCAAUCUUGCACAUUGCUAUCUUUGUGCACCUCUACGAGGCCUUCCUGGGAAUUCAACCCCACUUCCAGCUAUUCGGAAGUUCUUCAGAGUAAAGCCCCAAUCCCGGAUGGACCACACUUUAGUAGUUGGAGGGGCAGGGAUCCAGCUGCGGGAGCAGUAUAAGACCCAAUACAUUGAGUACGAGCUGAUUGACUCCCAUUCUGGAUGGAAGCAAUGGUGGUUCUAUAUUGCAAAUCAUGAGCUCCAUCUUCCCAAGGUCACCGGCCACCGUCCAGUGUGGAACAACCACUGGUUGGACGAGCCGAGUAGUUCCGACGGCUUUCAACUGUCGGAGUUGAUUUCUAAGAUCCCCCGCCUCAAGAGUAAUGGCUUGACCAGUGUCGGUGUGGCCUUCAACUUCAUGAGGAUGCGUGUCCAUCCCCUACAGCUUCGUUGCACUAUGGGGUAUGACUACUAGGGUCCCAACGACCCGUCGAGGAUGAUGUCAGAGGAGCUGUCCCCUAACGAGGUGAUGGUGCACCUGAAGCAUUUCUUCUAGCGCGUUAGUGGUAUCCUGACGGUCUUGUAGGAGUACUGCGCUGCGAACCCGCCAAACCCUACAAGUACCCGUGGCUUGUAGCCCCGAGUACUAGCUUUGGCGUCUGUCAUUGUUAGUGACUUCCGACCCGAGGGAAUGUGUUCCAGCCAGGCUCGUGCUGAGUCGGCCAGGAACAGCGGGAGGUUGCGAAUGAUGAAUAGGUCGUCAUCCGCCCUGCCGGCCUGACAAGCAAGCCGGUAGUCGCUGAGCCAAAGCUCGGGGUUCGUCUCCCCGGAGUAUUUGGCCAUGUUCGUGGGCUGCCUAAAAUGCGUUGGGAAUGGCGCGUUCAGGAUGCGUGCAGAGAAGGCCCUGAGCCCCGCUGGGUCGGGGCUCGGGCUCCGAUCUUCUUCACUAUCGUAGCGGCCACCACGGUGGACGUGGUAGCCACAAUCCUGUGGCGGAACCACCUCGGAUUAACUUAAUUAAAGUACGGUUAAGCCGCUUGACACGCGACACUCAUGCCUUAGUCAAGUUAACUCGAAGUGCCAUCGGAUUUCAUCCGAUUUAACCACUUAACAGGACCGAGUUAGCAUAACCCACACAAAGGUGAGUGGUUCCAGAAAAUACAACAGAUCCACCGAGUUAAACAAGUUUGACAAUUUAUUUCAACAUCAAGUCGAAAGUCAGAGUUUUACAAGAUUCAAAAGCAGUGGAAAGAUAAAAUAGCGGAAGCUAUCGCCGGGGUCGGAUGUCCCUGAUGAGGCCGAUCAGGACAUCAGUGAUCCCUUUCCUCGCCGUCCGAGGAGGGAUCCCACUCGACCGUCCACCCAGGAGGAAGCUGGGGCGGCCAAGUGCCAACAAGAGCAAACUCAGGAGCUUCAACUUCACCUAAAAUAGAGCCACAAACAAGGCCGAGCUGCUAAGCUCAACAAGACUUAACCGACUAGUGGAGAACUACUCCACCAACAUCUAGACAUGCAAGGCUCUUUGGCUGAGGGGUUUGUGUUACCAAAAGCGACUACAGUGGGUCCUUACUUUCAAUAUUUUAGCUCAGAUUCUAAGUUUAUUAACCAGUCUAUGUUGGCAACUUAUGCUAAACAACCAUAGUUUCAAACAACAAAGUAUAGAACAAGCAUCGGGUUCAUAUCAUCAUCAUGUUCCAUCUUUACUCAGUGUAGCAUAGCGAUCAAGCAGUCUCAAACUAUGAGAGGCAGACGAAUCGAUUCUAGUUUCUUAACCAUGCAUGGCAAACCUAAUCUCACGACAUCCGCACACCACAAAGGGUCGCUUCCUGUGUCGGCUGUCCCCAUCAAUUCCCAGGCACGUGUCAGGUCCAAACUUCCCUUGGCAUGCAAUGCUCCACAGUCCCGGCCUCUACCGUACUGUGACCACACUUGCACCCACAUGAUGCACCAUGGGAACCUCGUUCUAGGGACAGCAGGGGUAUAAGCCACGCCCUAGUUCAAUCAGGUACUAGGCUUCCCCAUCCCAUACUAGGUAUGAGAUUAGUACUUUCAAACACUUGAUCACGAACACCAACACUUUCCGACCUUAAGCAAUUUCAUAUAGACAGACAGGGCAAUCCACUGACCACCAAAAGAGUUCACCAGGCCCUGCCCCAUCCAUCGUCCUUAUAGUUGUAACCAGAAGGAGAACAACCAACUCCUAUAAUUCGCGAGUGACAGGAAAUCACUCGACUUUUACCAAGUCCUAUUAAGCAAUGCAACUACUCGGAGUUAUCAGGCUAGUGUUCAGAUCAAGGGGACUAAGUCAUGCAUCUAUGGUUUCAAACAACUCCUGUACUUAAAUGCACAUACAAACGAAGGAAGACAUGUGUAAGUUUAGAAAGUUGGGUUCAUGCUCCGGGGCUUGCCUUCAAGCGGAGGGGAGGGAAACUGGUCCUCUAAGGGCUUUGCUUCAGCUCCUGCGGUCCGCGGCUCAGCUACUGCUCCGUCUUCGGGCACCGGGUGUAGCUUGUAGACGCCGUCAGCGAGAUGCAACUCUACACGAAUGCAAAUACAGGAGUUAAUGUUUAGACGGUUAUUUCAACAACCCUUGCGAGUUAAAGCUCGGACACUGGUAGCAAGGCUACAGAAAAGGUGGGGGAAGUUCACUUUAGUUGGUGGAGAAUAGGAUAAAAGGGGUAGGAUGGGGAUAAACUUGUGAUCUGACCCUUAAACUUUAAGGGAUAACUGUGUUUGGGGUCCUUAGACUUAACGCAGAGAAAACCCCGAUAUUUGACAUAGAUACCUUUGGGUCAAAGAAAAAGAUACAGCCGAGCCCUCGGGCGAGGCUGAUAUGGGUCGGCGAAACAGAUAGGGUCGGGCGAGACGGAAAAAGGGGUCGGGUGAGACAGAAAAAGGGGUCGGGCGAAACAGACAGGGUCGGGCGAGAUGGAAAAAGGGGUCGGGCGAACCGGUAAGGGGGUCGGCAGUUUACCUUUAGGCCUACUGAUGAAGUCUUGGGGUCGGGAAGAACAGGCUCAGGCGGAGCGAUGAAAGGUGCUAAGGCUUGGGCGGCGGCGAUGUCCGGCGGUGCUCCGGCAGCGGCGGAGCUUCUUGUGGGCAACAAGGAAACUCUAGCACAGCGUGGAUUACCACUCGACGCACUACUGGUGCGGAAGAUGUAGAUAUGCGUUGAUGCAGUGAAGACGAUCACGUAGUCGUACGUAAUCGAUUAACGUAGUCGUACGUAGUCGAUCACGUCACGUCCAGCAGCUCCUCAGCAGCUCGUCCACAUGCAGCAAGAUCGGCUCCGGUGCCGCGGCUCGUCGUCGGCUCGUCGUGGCUCGUCGGCGGCUCGUCGAUGGCUCAUCCAAGUGCUGUAGGCGCAACACCUCCAAGGUAUCCACACGUGCAGGGAGGAAGCGUCGCAAGCCGGACUGCUAGAUCCGCGAGUUGCAACAGGCGAGGGCGUGGGAGGCGCGGCAGGUGUGUUUCGCCAAAAGGUGUAAACCCUAGGGCGCCCCCACCCCUCUAUUUAUAGAGGUUCCUAAUGGGCCUCUGGGUCCGAGGCCCAUUAGUACUUCUAAACCUAAUCCAACUCGGAUCAGAUCCGAAUUAGGCUUCCAGCCCCUUAAGUGUGUGACCCUAUGGGUUCGGAUACGUAUAGACAUGGCCCGAGUACUCCUACUCGGCCCAAUAAUCGGUAGCGGCCUCUAGCAAGACGUGCCAACUCCUAUACGCACACGAAGAUUAUAUCAGACGAACCAUCACAAUAUAAUAUACAUGCUAUUCCCUUUGCCUCACGAUAUUUGGUCUAGCUUCAAGCCGACCGCUCUUUCUCGAUCCUGUGAUUCGGAAUCCCUUUGUAGGUUAACUCUUAACCGUACGUAGCAUGGCCAUGCAUUUUUGGAUCCGAUCACUCGAGGGGCCCAGAGAUAUCACUCUCAAUCAGAGAGGGGCAAAUCCCAUCUUGAUUGACCAUGUCUCAUAGCAUGCUUCUUGACAAACCCGAAAGCUACCUUUAUAACUACCCUGUUACGGCGUAGCGUUUGAUAGCCCCUAAGUAGGUCGAUCCACAUCUAGAAUACAUGCGACAAUCUCAGGUCUAAGGACAAAGCGUAUAUGUUGUUUAAAGAGAGAACUACUUCUCAUGUUGGGUCAGUCCUAGCACAUGUCUCCACAUGUGUCCACAUUAUUAGUUCAACAUCUCCAUAUCCAUGACUUGUGAAACAUAGUCAUCAACUAAUACAUGUGCUAGUCUAAUAUUCAUGUGUGUCCUCACAUGAACUCCGACUAGGGACAACUUUAGAAUAACCAUACAAGUAAAGAGUUUCACAUACAAUUCAUAUAAUUGCAAAUCAAUUCAAGUAGCCUUCAAUGGAUAUUCAAUGAACACAACAUACAAAUCAUGGAUACAAAUGGAAUAUCAUCAUCUCUAUGAUUGCCUCUAGGGCAUACCUCCAACAGUCUCCCACUUGCACUAGAGUCAAUCUAGAAGGUACCUAAUACCCAUAGCUCUUACAUGUGCAUCAUGCUUAGCCUGCGGGAGUGGUUUCGUCAACGGAUCAGAAAUGUUCAGAUCCGUGUGUAUUUUGCAUAUCUUGAUCUCACCCCGGUUAACGAAGUCUCGAAUGAGAUGAAAUCGCCGCAUUACGUGUUUGUUCUUCUGGUGGUUCCUUGGCUCCUUUGCUUGCGCAAUUGCCCCAUUGUUGUCACAGUAGAGAUUCAAUGGGCUGGACGCAUUCGGGAACACACCAAGCUCAACGAGGAAAUUCCUUAUCCAAACACCUUCCUUCGCGGCUUCUGAAGCCGUGAUGUACUCGGCUUCUGUCGUAGAAUCGGCCACCGUCUCCUGCUUGGAACUCUUCCAACUAACAGCACCACCAUUUAGCGUGAACACAAAUCCUGAUUGUGACUUUGAAUCAUCUCUGUCGGUUUGGAAACUAGCAUCGGUGUAACCUGUUACAACGAGCUCCUCCUCACCACCAUAGACGAGGAACAUAUCUUUAGUCCUUCUCAAGUACUUAAGAAUGUUUUUCACCGCUGUCCAGUGACUCUCACCUGGAUCAGAUUGGUGUCUGCUUGUCGUACUUAGCGCAUACGAAACAUCUGGACGAGUACUUAUCAUUGCAUACAUGAUAGAUCCAAUAGCCGAGGCAUAUGGCACUCUACUCAUGCGAUCCCGCUCAUCAGCAGUCGAAGGACACUGAGUCUUGCUGAGAUGUAUGCCAUGUGACAUAGGCAAGAACCCUUUCUUUGCCUCUUCCAUGCUGAACCGCUUCAACAUUUUGUCAAUGUAAGUAUCUUGGCUUAAACCUAUAAGCCUUCUCGAUCUAUCUCUAUAGAUCUUAAUGCCCAGAAUAUAUGCCGCUUCCCCAAAGUCCUUCAUCGAAAAACUAUUUUUCAGUGAAGUCUUUACGGACUCAAGCAUAGGAAUGUUAUUUCCAAUCAGUAAUAUGUCAUCCACAUAUAAGAUUAGAAAUACUACAGAGCUCCCACUAACCUUCUUGUAAACACAAGACUCUUCUUCGUUCUUGGUGAAGUCAAACCCUUUGACCACUUCAUCAAAACGAAUGUUCCAACUCCUAGAUGCUUGCUUCAAUCCAUAAAUGGAUCUCUGAAGCUUGCAUACCUUUCCAGCAUUUUUCGGAUCGACAAAACCCUCGGGCUGUAUCAUAUACACGUCCUCAGCUAGGUUUCCAUUCAGGAAAGCUGUCUUGACAUCCAUCUGCCAUAUCUCAUAAUCGAAAUAUGCAGCUAUAGCUAGAAUAAUCCGAAUGGACUUAAGCAUCACUACGGGCGAGAAGGUCUCGUCGUAGUCAACUCCUUGAACUUGUCGAAAACCUUUUGCGACAAGUCGUGCUUUAUAGAUGUGAACAUUUCCAUCCAUGUCCUUUUUCUUCUUAUAGAUCCACUUGCACUCUAUGGCUUUAACACCAUCAGGCGGGUCAACCAAGUUCCAAACUUGAUUGUCUCCCAUGGACUCUAUUUCGGAUUGCAUGGCAUUCUGCCAUUUUUCGGAGUCUGGAUCCAUCAUUGCUUCUGCAUAUGUCGCAGGCUCAUCAUUGUCCAACAAUAAUAUUUCCCGCAUUUCGCGGAGCCUUGCCGACCUUCGUGGUUGUGGCGGUGCUUCUCUUGCCAUGGGUAUCUCAACUUGUUCUGCUACGUUAGCAUCACUCAUUGAUUCUUGCCCGAUCGGCUCAUCUUGAACUUCUUCAAGAUGCACUGUCUUUCCACUCUUUUCUCCUUUGAGAAACUCUUUCUCUAGGAAAACCCCGUUCCGAGCGACAAACACUUUGCCUUCUGAUCGGUUGUAGAAAUAAUAUCCCAAAGUUUCCUUUGGAUAUCCCAUGGAAAUGCACUUAUCCGACUUGGGUGUGAUCUUGUCCGACUGAAGUCGCUUGACAAACACUUCACAUCCCCAAAUCUUUAGAAAAGACAAACUAGGAACCUUUCCAGUCCAUAUCUCAUAUGGUGUCUUAACUACGGAUUUAGAUGGUACCCUAUUAAGUGUGAAAGCUGCUGUUUCUAGAGCGUAUCCCCAAAAUGACAACGGUAGGUCCGACUGGCUCAUCAUUGAUCGAACCAUGUCUAACAAAGUUCGAUUACAUCGCUCGGACACACCGUUUCUCUGAGGUGUUCCAGGCGGCGUAAGUUGUGGAAUAAUUCCGCAACUCUUUAGAUGAUUGCUAAACUCGUGGCUCAAAUACUCGCCUCCACGAUCAGAUCGUAAGGCCUUAAUUUUCUUGCCACGCUGAUUUUCAACUUCAUUAUGAAAUUCCUUGAACUUUUCAAAGGUUUCAGACUUGUGCCUCAUCAAGUAGACAUAGCCAUAUCUACUAAAAUCAUCAGUGAAAGUUAUGAAGUAUUGGAAUCCUCCUCUAGCCGUCAUGCUCAUUGGUCCACAUACAUCACUAUGUACGAGUUCCAACAAGUCUACUGCUCUCUCAGGAAAUCCUGUGAAAGGCGUCUUGGUCAUCUUGCCUAGCAAGCAAGCCUCACAUGUCUCGUAUGAUUCAAAAUCAAACGAAGUUAGAAGUCCAUCAGAAUGGAGCUUCUUCAUGCGCUUUUCACUUAUAUGACCCAAACGACAAUGCCACAAGUAGGUAGGACUCAAAUCAUUAGGCCAAGGCCUUUUAGCACUUACAUUACAGACAGGUGAACCAUCAAGAUUUAAAACAAAUAAUCCAUUCACAAUGGGUGCAAAAGCCAUAAACAUAUCAUUCUUAGAGAUCACACAACCAUUGUUUUCACUCGCAAAUGAAUAACCAUCCUUCAUCAAGCAUGAAGGAGACAAAAUGUUUCGACUUAAACUAGGAACAAAAUAACAAUUAUUCAACUCCAUAAUAAAUCCUGACGGGAGGUGGAGUUGCAUCGUCCCGACGGUCAACGCAGCAACUCUUGCAUUAUUGCCCACGUGGAAAUCAACUUCUCUUUCCACGCUUCUACUUCUUAUCAUUCCCUGCAUCGAAUUGCAAAUAUGAGCAACCGAUCCGGUAUCAAAUACCCAAGAAUUAAUAAUUGUAUCAGCGAGAAAAAUGUUGUUUAUAACAUUAACAACAAGCGUACCUGAGGUAGAAGUACUCUUACUUCCGCCAUUCUUCAAGGAAGCUAGGUACUGCUUGCAGUUUCUCUUCCAGUGACCAAGUUCAUGACAGUAAAAGCACUCUGUGUCUGGAGCAGGUCCAGGUCCAGCUUUAACCUUGGGCGGUGGGUUUGGCUUGGACGUUCCAGCAUUGCCCUUCUUCUUCCAAGAAUUGCCCUUCUUCUUAAAGCUAGGCUUGUUCUGUAUCGCCAUCACAUGGCUGGUACUAGCGCUUUUCUUGAUGUCAGCCUCUGCUGUUUUAAGCAUGCCACACAGCUCAUUCAGACCCUUCUCCGUCCCAUGCAUAUGGUAGUUCGAGAUGAAGUUCCCAUAGCUAGGCGGAAGAGACGAAAGAAUGAAAUCAGUGGCCAACUCUUGGCCCAGUGGGAAGCCCAGCUUCUCCAACCGUUGAGUGUAACCAACCAUCUUGAUUACGUGUGGUCCUACUGCUGCGCCUUCUGCUAGCUUGCUCUCAACAAAGGCCUUAGACACAUUGAACCUUUCAGUCCUGGCCUGUGUUUGGAACAUGUCUCUAAGCACCACGAUCAUAUCGUGCGCCUCAUGGUUUGUUUCGAACUGCAUCUGCAGCUCGGGUUCCAUGCAAGCAAGCAUAAGGCAGCUUACUUCGAGGUUAGCAUCACAUGCUUUCUUGUAAGCAUUCUUAGCAGCAGCGGGUGCAUCAUCAGCAGGUUCUUCUGGUAGUGGGUUGUCUAGAACAUCUUCCUUUUUCUCAGCCCUGAGAACAAUUCUCAGGUUACGGAUCCAAUCCGAGUAAUUUGUUCCAUUCAACUUGUCCUUCUCAAGGACCGAACGCAAAGCAAACGGUGUAGUGCUGCUAGGUGCCAUUUAAUCUACAACAAAGUAAUGCAAAAUACACUAAGACAAACAUAUCCAUGAUAGAGCAAAUCACAUUAAACUAUUUUAACAGAAUCUACUCCCACUAAAAUCAAUAUCCCUCUAUUGAAACUUAGUGAUUCAGGAUCCACAACUAACAAGUCCACUAGUGAGAUUUAGCAUCACCGCUAGCAAACAAGGUAGAUUGGUAAGCAACUUUUGCUAAUCAUAUCACAUAUGACUCCUGUUGUUGGGUGACAUCUCCAUGUCUCGGCGCCCAACCGUUAUGCCCCAAGGUCCUUAACCGUUAAGAUGACCUCGUUAAGCAAACCAACCCUUAUGCGUGUAAGUGUCCGACACAAACCCGUCUAGUCAAGGAAAACUAGUGGUACCCUAAUUUCAUAGACCCACCACUAAUUGUACAAGACAUGGGACGGUGCAAGUUUUAGUUGGGAGGGCAUACUAACUUAAACUUUGUGAGGGAUCGUUCUACUUCUAACAUCACAGCAUGCAGAAAGUAAACAUAAACAGAAUAGCAUUCACAGAGUUGUGACACAGUAUGGCCCGUUUUCAUAUGGUGAUCUCCAUCUCCAUAGAACCUGUUCACCAUGGUGAUCUCCAUCUCCAUGUUCCAUGUGCGCCAUCCUCCUGGUGAUGAGUCCUCCAAGAACUAGAGCAUGCUAUUGCGCCUAAUAGCUAGUAAAGAAUCUAGUGAUGAAGAUUACAUAGUUUAGUUGCUUGGAUCAUCACAGAUUGGUACGCAGACCAUUAAAUACAAUAAAGUGACAACACAUAUGGCUCCUGACGUGUUGCCGUACGCGCGACACGCAGGUCACGAAUGAGUUACACACAUGCAUCACAUACACAAGGGGGCCAUACUGAUCACAAGAUACAUACAUACAUCCUGCAAAACAGAGUUAGGCGCCCUAUCGUUCCAAACUUCGGAUGCCCGAAACUCCAUCUUCCAAGCCGAAUUUGGGAAAUCUAAUAUCGCCGAAAACGGCGAAGCGGUUGAAUUUCAUGUGUAACUUUUUCUGUAGAUCAAUUUUCAUAUAAAAUUCGCCCCGAUCCGAGAUCGUACCGAAAAGUUACGGCUGAUUUACCGAAGCAUACGCAUACGGCAAAAAUCCCGACCCCGGCAAUAGAUCUCCUCUACUAUUGCACAUCUAAUGCGCAUGGCGUAUGACCCUGGAUUUCGAUUCGACCAAUCAUAUUGAUCUUCGCUCACUGCAACUGGAUUUACGUGUAUCACUUAACUCCGAUGGCGGAAACCGACCGGUAGGAGUAUGUCGUUACACUACCAUUGCAGCAAGGGCACGAAACGAGGACAUAGAUCAAACGGAAAACUCGCAUAUCUCCAUAUGUACACAUCCCGAAUCCAAAAAUAAGCAGCUACGGCUCUGAUACCACUGUUGGGAUACAAGGUAGGCUACACUAGCGCGAAUCAAAAUUUCUACCGCGUAUAACCAGGAAGAACUGCCGUAUAAGGAUCACGGGAUUACCACUCGACGCACUACUGGUGCGGAAGAUGUAGAUAUGCGUCGAUGCAGUGAAGACGAUCAUGUAGUCGUACGUAAUCGAUCAACGUAGUCGUACGUAGUCGAUCACGUCACGUCCAGCAGCUCCUCAGCAGCUCGUCCACGUGCAGCAAGAUCGCCUCCGGUGCCGCGGCUCAUCGUCGGCUCGUCGUGGCUCGUCGGCGGCUCGUCGAUGGCUCGUCCAAGUGCUGCAGGCGCAACACCUCCAAGGUAUCCACACGUGCAGGGAGGAAGCGUCGCAAGCCGGACUGCUAGAUCCGCGAGUUGCAACAGGCGAGGGCGUGGGAGGCGCGGCAGGUGUGUUUCGCCAAAAGGUGUAAACCCUAGGGCGCCCCCACCCCUCUAUUUAUAGAGGUUCCUAAUGGGCCUCUGGGUCCGAGGCCCAUUAGUACUUCUAAACCUAAUCCAACUCGGAUCAGAUCCGAAUUAGGCUUCCAGCCCCUUAAGUGUGUGACCCUAUGGGUUCGGAUACGUAUAGACAUGGCCCGAGUACUCCUACUCGGCCCAAUAAUCGGUAGCGGCCUCUAGCAAGACGUGCCAACUCCUAUACGCACACGAAGAUUAUAUCAGACGAACCAUCACAAUAUAAUAUACAUGCUAUUCCCUUUGCCUCACGAUAUUUGGUCUAGCUUCAAGCCGACCGCUCUUUCUCGAUCCUGUGAUUCGGAAUCCCUUUGUAGGUUAACUCUUAACCGUACGUAGCAUGGCCAUGCAUUUUCGGAUCCGAUCACUCGAGGGGCCCAGAGAUAUCACUCUCAAUCAGAGAGGGGCAAAUCCCAUCUUGAUUGACCAUGUCUCAUAGCAUGCUUCUUGACAAACCCGAAAGCUACCUUUAUAACUACCCUGUUACGGCGUAGCGUUUGAUAGCCCCUAAGUAGGUCGAUCCACAUCUAGAAUACAUGCGACAAUCUCAGGUCUAAGGACAAAGCGUGUUUGUUGUUUAAAGAGAGAACUACUUCUCGUGUUGGGUCAGUCCUAGCACAUGUCUCCACAUGUGUCCACAUUAUUAGUUCAAUAUCUCCAUAUCCAUGACUUGUGAAACAUAGUCAUCAACUAAUACAUGUGCUAGUCUAAUAUUCAUGUGUGUCCUCACAUGAACUCCGACUAGGGACAACUUUAGAAUAACCAUACAAGUAAAGAGUUUCACAUACAAUUCACAUAAUUGCAAAUCAAUUCAAGUAGCCUUCAAUGGAUAUUCAAUGAACACAACAUACAAAUCAUGGAUACAAAUGGAAUAUCAUCAUCUCUAUGAUUCCCUCUAGGGCAUACCUCCAACAGAGAAAGGUGCUACAAGCGAGGUUGCAACAGAUGAGAAGACAGGGCGAGUGGUGGCACGGGCAAGCGCGAAACGGCGGCAUUGCCGGAGCACGUCACUGGUGGGGCGAGAAAAGGAGCUGUUGCUGCCGGAGUCGGGGUUGGCGAGGGAGGAAUCGUCGCAUAGCGAGUUCGUGGGCGGCGUGACUGUGGAGAGGCGGAAAAGCCGGAGGGCAUCGGGUCUUGCAGCCGGGGAUCCGGCGAGAUGAUGGGCGCGAGUUGCGAGGUGGUCUAACACAGCAGCGGCAAAGUUCUGCCACGACGGCGACGAGGCACCAUGGCGCGGUCGGCGAGGGCGCGAGUGAGACGAGGCGAUGCAGAAAGGGUUGCGGAGGGGCUUCCGCUGCGAUUGGGGAGGAGGGCGCGGGAAUCCAUCCUGUCGCGGCUGGCGACUGGGCGAAGCGGCGGGUGUCGGAGAGAUCAGGCCACGCGGCGGAGAGGCUCUGAAGCGGGCGCAUGCUGCUCAGGCGUGUCUGCCUCGGGAGAUUCGGGUAAGAGAUUUGCGGAUCCACCAGUCAGUCUCGGUUUCUCCUCUGCUCAAGAUGGAAAGGAACACUGCUGCUGAGACUUAGAAGGAACUGGUGGUUCUGGUUGGGUUUUCAGGGGUCGGGACCGGGAACUGGAGGUUGAGCGCUUAAGCUCAGGGGAGCUAAGUCAGCGGGAUUAGGGACUCGGAUAGGAUUAACUCGGUUGAUUUAACCGGGGUCGUUACAGCCUACCCCCCUUAAAAAGAAUCUCGUCCCGAGAUUCGGGUGUAAGGGUAACCAGUGGGGGUGUGCAGUCCUUACCUCCUUGGCUGGAAAGAAAACCUCAGAAAUGUUUGUUCAGAUACUCUUCUGUUUCCCAGGUUGCUUCUUCUUCUGUGUGGUUGUUCCAUAGUAUCUUGUACAUUUUGACUGUUUGCCGUCGGAUAUGUCUUUCCUUUCGGUCAAGGACCUUGGCUGGAUUCUCAGUGUAAGGUAGGUCGGACUCAAUUUCAAGUUGCUCCUGCUCCAAGACCUCAGUUGGGACUUGGACACAUUUUUUCAGUUGGGAGACAUGGAAAACAUCAUGAAUGGCCGAGAGCUUUUCUGGGAGUUGGAUCCAGUACGCAACGGGUCCACAAAUUUCCACAAUCUCAUAAGGGCCAAUGUAACGGGGAGCCAAUUUCCCUUUUACUCAAAACCGUUGCACUCCUUUGGUCGGGAAGACUCGAAGAUAUACGUGAUCACCAAUGUCAAACUGCAGGGGUCUCCUCCUCCUGUCGGAGUAACUCUUCUGUCAAGAUUGGGCUGCCUUGAGAUUUGCUUGAAUUAUCUUAACUUGCUCUUUGGCUUCUACUACUAGAUCAGGACCAUAGGUUUGUCUUUCUCCAGCUUGUGACCAAUUCAAAGGUGUCUGACACCUCCGACCAUAUAAGGCUUCAAACGGUGCCAUCUUCAAACUGGUCUGGUAGCUAUUGUUGUAGGAGAACUCUGCCAAUGGUAAGCACUUAUCGCAAUUCCUGUCAUAGUGGAUGACACAAGCUCGUAGCAUGUCUUCAAGGAUCUGAUUUAUUCUUUCGGUCUGACCAUCGGUUUGAGGGUGAUAAGUAGAGCUACGAAUGAGCUUGGUGCCAAGUGAUGCUUGUAGCUGUUCCCAAAAACGCGCUACAAACUGAACACCUCGAUCAGAUAUGAUCGUCCUAGGCACACCGUGCAGGGAAACAAUACGGUCAAGAUACAACUCUGCAUAUUUCUUGGCCGUGUAGGUGGUGUGGAUAGGAAGAAAGUGGGCAGACUUGGUAAGGCGGUCCACUAUAACCCAAAUGGAGUCAUGUCGCUGAGAUGUAGGAGGCAGUCCAACAAUGAAGUCCAUGCUGAUGUCUUCCCAUUUCCAAGAGGGAAUAGGUAGGGGUUGCAGGGUACCUGCUACCUUUAAAUGGCUGGCUUUGACACGUUGGCAGGUGUCACAUUCCAAGACAUAGCGUGCAAUUUUCAGCUUCAUUCCACUCCACCAAAAAGUCUGACGAAGAUCAUGACACAUUCUAUUGAUGCCAGGAUGGAUUGAGAACUUGGAGAGAUAGGCUUCAUCUAGGAGUUGCUUCUUAAGAGUAGGGUCGGAUGGGACAACAAGUUGGUUCUCAUAGUACACUCUCCCAUUCUCAUCCUGUCGGAAUUGCUUAUACCCUUCAUCCUUCCAUGAAAUCUUCCUUUUAAUUCGCUUUAUUUCCUCGUCCUCCAACUGUGUCGUCCCAAUUUGGUCCUCCAAAGCAGACUCACGGGAGAUGUGAGCGAGGAUUCCAUGGGAAACAAUUUCCAAAUUAAGUUUUCCCAUCUCAUGACACAGAGUCUCUGUGAAGUUGGUUGCCGACAAGCAAUUGCAAUGGGUCUUGCAGCUAAGAGCAUCUGCCACUACGUUGGCCUUGCCAGAGUGAUAAUGUACUUCCAAGUCAUAAUCCUUAAUCAGCUCUAACCAUCUUCUUUGUCGCAUGUUGAGGUCGGCUUGAGUGAAGAUGUAUUUGAGGCUCUUGUGGUCAGUGUAGACGUUGCAGUGGGUGCCCAUUAGAUAGUGUCUCCAUAUUUUUAGGGCGUGAAUCACUGCUGCUAACUCAAGAUCAUGGGUCGAAUAGUUCAGCUCAUGAGGUCGUAACGUCCGUGAGGCAUAGGCAAUGACUCGGUUGUCUUGCAUAAGAACACACCCAAGUCCAGUGCCAGAGGCAUCACAGUUUAUGUCAAACAGCCUAGAAGGGUCGGGUUGAGCUAAAACGGGGGCAGAAGUCAACAAGUGUUUCAAGGUGUUGAAGGCUUCUUCACAUUUCUUGCUCCACCCAAACUUGACUUCCUUCUUCAGAAGCUCAGUCAUCGGCUUAGCUAUCUUGGAGAAAUCCGGAAUGAAGCGCCGAUAGUAGCCUGCCAGUCCAAGAAAACUUCGGAUCUGGUGAACUGAAGUGGGUGGCUUCCAAUCCAUGACUUCCUGUACCUUACUGGGGUCAACGGCUAUGCCAUUCCGAGAGAUAGUGUGUCCCAAGAACUUGACAUUAUCUAACAAAAAUUCACACUUGGAGAACUUGGCAUAAAGAUGGUGAUCCCUCAACUGUUGAAGAACCACAUGAAGAUGAUCGGCAUGUUCUUCUUCGUUCUUCGAGUACACUAGGAUAUCAUCAAUGAACACCACCACGAACUUGUCCAACUCGGGCAUCAACACCAAAUUCAUGAGAUACAUGAAUUAAGCGGGUGCAUUGGUGAGUCCAAAAGACAUAACCAGGUACUCGUAGAGUCCAUAUCUUGUGGAGAAGGCAGUUUUGGGAAUGUCACAGGGUCUGAUCUUGAUUUGGUGAUAACCGGAACGAAGAUCAAUCUUGGAGAAUACUCUUGCCAGCUAACUGAUCAAACAGAUCAUCAAUGCGGGGAAGGGGAUACUUGUUCUUGAUAGUCACCGCAUUGAGGGGUCGGUAGUCCACACACAUGCGUAGACUCUCAUCUUUUCUUCUUCACAAACAGGGCUGGGCAACCCCAAGGUGAAGUGCUGGGUCGGAUAAAGCCUUUCUCCAACAACUCAUGUAGUUGGGUUUUUAACUCAGCCAACUUGCCGGGUGGCAUCCGAUAAGGUCUUUUGGAGAUAGGGGUGGUGCCGGGGAUCAACUCUAUGGGAAACUCCACAUCUCUAUCGGGCGGCAUGCCUGGCAAAAUAUCGGGAAACACGUCGGGGUACUCACAGACUGCAGGGAUGUCCUUCAGUCGGGUCUCAACUGCGGGAUACGCACAAGAAUUCACAUCUUCUCAGCGAGGCAAUUGGACAACAGAGGGGCCUUGGUAGGGUGAGUUGACAUGGAUGGCUCGGGCUGGGAUAUCUAGCACAACCUGGUGCCUAGUCAUCCAAUCCAUUCCUAGGAUGACAUCAAUCCCCUCUAGAUCGAGAAUAACAAGAUUCUCCUUAAAAAGGGUUCGGCCUAGCUGGAUAGGCACAUUGACACUCAUCCUAUCAGAUGUGAUUACUCCACCCGGGGUGGAUAUCCUAAAAGACCCUCUUGUUUGGCAUUCCUUUAACCCAUAUUUGUCACUAGCCUUUCUUCCAAUAAAACUAUGUGAGGCUCCUGAGUCAAACAAAAUCAAAGUUGAACGAUUGUGGAUAAGAAAGGUACCCGUCAUUAUCGGUGCACCUUCAGGAAGCUCUGCUGCAUUGGUGAAGUUCAGCCGACCUUGGCGAACUUGCAUCUUGGGCUUCUUCCCUUUAUUGAGCAUCGCAUUGCUCUGCCCUGGGCGCUGAUUCUGAUUCCUGGGGCAGUCCUUGGCAAAAUGCCCCACAUUGUCAUAGGUGAAGCAGCGGUUACCAUUUGCAGGGCGCGGUGGCGGUGGUAGGGUCGGCCGGCGGUGCCUGAGGUUGAGAUCCCGGGAAACGAAAUGCUGCUGUCGAUGGGGGUCGGGCAACCCAUCUUCCUUACUACUGGGGUCGGCUGGGCGCCUGUGGGGGAACCAUUCUGAAUCGCUGUGCAGGUGGGCUGGGCGUCGGCAUUGGAGCCUUCCUCUUCCUCUCGGCUGCCAGAGCCUUCAUGCAGUCCUCUUGUGACAUGGCCAAGUUGACCAACUCGUUGUACGUAUUCACCCUUAUCGGGUUUAAUCUCUCUCUGAGCUCCAGGCUUAGCCCUCUGCGGAACCUGUCCUGCUUCUUCUCAUCUGUGUCCGCAUGGUAUCCAGCAUACCGGCACAGAUCAUUGAAAGCCUGCGCAUAGUACAGGACAUCACGAUUUUCCUGGGUAAGGGCCAGGAACUCGUUGAGUUUACGCUCCAGGAGACCUUCAGGGAUAUGGUGGCCCCUGAACACCGUCUUAAACUCCUCCCAGCUGACGACGUGGUUGGCCGACUGCAUGGCGUGGUAGUGAUCCCACCAAAGGAAGACAGAACCACGCAGUUGCUGCGUGGCGAACCGAGCCUUGUUCUCCUCCAGGCAAUGGGCAGAGAGGAAGGAGAACUUGGAUUCGAUGGCACGAAUCCAGACGUCGGCGUCGAGCGGGUCUUGUGUCUUCUGGAACAAAGGGGGUUGCGUCCCCAAGAAAUCCUCAUAGCGAGCAACAUGAGGCUGCCACUGAGCCCUUCCCCCAUGGGGCUGCUGCUGUUGCCCCGGGGUCGCCGCCUUCCCUUCCGAUCUUGGUCUCCUAUCAGCAUGACCGCCGGAGGGGGAUGGUUGUUGUUGGGUCCUGUAGACGACCCGGCGGUCGGCCGCUGUAACCGAGCAUGUGGGACAUGUGUGGCGACCGAACGCUGUAGCCAUGCAAGAUGAUGAUGAUGAUGACCGGCCGCCAUAGUGGUGCACGUUGCGGAUGGCGGGCGACCUCUAUAGCCUUGCGUGCUGGCCGGGAGGCGCGCUCAACGUGCUCCUGCCGCCGGACCGAGCGGGAAACGGGGCGGCGCUCCUUCCUUUGUUAGUCAGUAUGGGUGAUGAGUGCCUAUGACCAAUGUCAAAGGGAAGGCAGGACGGUGCAGCUGUAGCCCCGUGCGGUCGUGGCUAUAGUGCGUCGUCUGAAAACUAUGGCGGGUCACAUCAAGGUGCGCGGGCACCUUUCUGCGCGUCAGAGCCGCGCUCUGGGUAGGCGCCCCAUGGGUCGCAUUUAUGGCGAGAUCAGUGGGGGCCCACGAGAUCCGCGCCCUCAUCCGUUGGUCCAUACCCGCCCUCGGGCAAGGCGAAGGCCUGUCUUGUGGGCCCGGAUGCGUCCGACCCCUAGCGUCUAGAGUCGGGCGAGGCAGAGCCUUACGGCGAAGGGUCGGGCGCGUCCGACGCCCUGCACCCGGGGUCGGGCGAGGCGGAGCCUUGCGGUGAGGGGUUGGGCACGUCCGACCCUAGGACCAUAGGUCGGGCGAGGCGAAGCGGAAUAUUUCCCGUUGAUGCCAGGUCGACGGAGGUCACUGUCGCCGCAGUUGGGCCCGGAGCCUUAUGAUCGUUGUUUAAGGAGUACAAGGAGGUCGUUAAUAUUCCCCCCAACACAACUCGAAGGAUAAUGUAGUGUAGCAGAAAGCUCCGUAUGGGGUGAUGAAUGUAGUCUUGAUUUGGUCUUCUUCCUUAAGAGCAAUUUGGUGGUACGCUGAAUAGUAAUUGAGGAAGCAGAGUAGGGCACAUCCAGUUGUCGAGUCGAUAACUUGAUCGAUCCUAUGGAGCCCGAAAUGAUCCUUUGGACAGUGCUUGUUGAGGUCCGUGUAGUCGGCACACAUCUUCCACUCGUUGUUGUUUUUCUUUCGCACCAGGACGGGAUUGGUAAGCCACUUUAGAUGAUAGACUUCUUUUAUAAAACCCGCCGCGAGUAGUUUGGCUAGCUCUUUUAUAUUGCUUCUCUUCUGUCUUGGGCAAAUCACCGUAGUCGUUGUCUUUUUAGUAUAGCUUUUGGAUCCACCUUCAGUGAGUGCUCGAUCAACUUUCUAGAUAACCCCGGCAUAUUUGAUGACUUUCAUUUUGAUAGGAGAUUUGUAUUCCUCCAUCACAAGUCGUCGUAAAUAUCUUUUAAACAUGUUGAAAUACGUUUGUAACGUGAAAAAUCUAGGAAAACGGAAUAGGACACCCUCACGCGGCUGAUAAGUGAUAUUGCCUAGAAUAUCAGGAUGCCAGAGAGAGGCUAAUUUCAAAUCCCAUUUCUUGUCAUUGUAUAUCAGAGGCACGCCAAGGAGCGAGCCUCCGGGCAUUGCGCGAGGGAAUGCAGCCAGAGGCUUCAGCUUCAUUGUAGGAGAGGGGAGGAGGUUAGGUACGUGCCAACCGCUGCUGGAUCGCCAAUAAUUCGCCAUUGCCGGUCCUACCGGCAACCACCAGGACCAAACCCAAUCCACAAUGACUGGGAUAACAUAAUGGCUGGAUAUUUCCAAUUAAAAUCUAUGCACCUCAGCAUGGCCCCACAAGGCAGGAAAAAGGUUCCUUGCUUAUCCAGCGGUACUACCUUUUUGUGUUUACAUGGUGCUAUCAGAUACUACUAUUAGUGCUAAUCCUGAUCUGAAAUGUGACUUAUCAUACGUGUUUCCUCGUAUGGUGGCUUGCUUAUUUCAGUUUAGCACGCAACCGUGGGUAGGUUCAUCGCAAAGUCGUGGCAUCCCAUAACUUUAUAUGGGCAUCUCGUCUACUCUGGUCCAGUUUGGAUCCCCUAUGAAUUAUGCUUGUGCAAUUUUACAUAGUAGUGUUGCACUGCUUACUUAGAAAAAAUAGAUAUUCAGGAGUUUUCAGUAAUUUUCAGUAGAACUCCAUCAAAUGCUCAUCUCGCACAGUCACUCAAUCUUUGCGAAUAGCAACCGCAAUAUUCAACGUCUCUCUUGCAAAGAAGCAGAAGAACUUUUCCACAAAAAUAUGUCCGGACUGCUCUCUUUUCUGCGGCGAAAAAAAAAUUGCAAACAAAAUUGUCAUACACACCGGUAGCUUCAGUAGUCACAGUCGCAAGUGGAGAAGCCUCACUGCAACAACCAAAGGAUCAAGCUCCGCACAUCCGCACAAUUGAGGAACGAGACGCAUCACAAGAUUUCAAAGAAGUGCAAACGAUUCUUUCUUUUACAAAAUUUUUCAUCGUCGUCGCCGUCGACACAGGGAGCUGACAGAAACCUUGCAUCCUAAAAUCUCAUCAAGGGAUCAGAGCAGGAUUAAUGCAUUUCGACAUGUACAAGGAUCAUCCGUUAGCUUCCAUGAUUGUGUCUAUGGAUACAUACAUGGUCAAUGAGAGCUUAGAGUGAGCCUUCCUUGGCCGAGAGCCGCUUCAAG
rnacentral:lncRNA from 1 species